CUUGGGAGGUUUACCAAUUGGGGUUGGUGGCUUGUGUUCUGGGAGUGGUUUCUCUCCCUUGGGAGGUUUAGUGGGUGACUUGUGUUCUGGAGGUGGCUUCUCCACCGAAGGCUUGUGCUCCGGUGGUGGCUUUUUGGUUGGAGGGGGCUUGGGGUAAUCAGCAAGAGAUGGGGUGGUGAGAACCACCAGUCCAAGGAACAACACUAGCAAGUAUGUGGGAGACAUUUUUGAGUUUGGGCUGAUCAGAUGAUGCAAAACUAAAGCAUUACGUGACCUUUUAUAGCAAGUAGCUCCCAAUACCUACUUGACACGUGUUACUGUGACCCAUAAAUAUUAUGGGGUCUAUUUGUGCCCUACCGGGUUGAAAACUUGGACAAUUGGGCAAGGACCCGCCUGACUAUGGAGGACUACUGAGGUGUGAUCACAGCUUUAGGAUUUUUCUUCCUCUGCAGCCGUCUUGCCGUUGGCAUGAUUUUCUUAAUCUCAAAUAAAGGCAUAGUUAUAGAGUUGUUUAAUCUCUAAAUGGGAUUUUAUAUAUCUUCAGAUAGCCAUUAAUACAUUUGAUGAAGAAAGAAAGACAAGUGCAUACAACAUGUAUACGACUAGCUUUCAUGGAGUUCAUUUAUGAUCAGUUUUCCUGUACAUGUAAACCAAGAUCAUAUAUGUUUUUGUUCCACAACAAUUUUGGAAUCUUGUUUAUCCGUUUUUAUCAUUAUAAUGUCACAUAGGCUGCCAACUUGGGCGCUAAAUUAAAGAUCCAGUUGGGCAAGUUCGUUUCAGAAUUUCAAUGGUGGAUUCAGGAAUUGUUUUAUAAGAUAUGCAAAAUAGUAGAGGGAUGAAUAGUGUUUCAUUAAGAAAAGAGCCCUGUAAAAAUAUUGUUUAAAGGUGCCAUAGAAACUAUAAUCAAUAAAUAACUUUUUUUCCCCAUGGGUGGUGUUUCUUGUGGGGAUCAGUGACUGGUUUGAGUCAACGCCGUGUCUCUUUAGUCCAGAAAUCAACUAUUUUAUGCAUUGAAUACAUCAACAAAGAAAAUAUGAAAGCCAAAUGACACCUCCCCCGCAAAAACUAAACCCUGGUUGCUAACUUUCUAUGUUUCAGUUCCAUUCACACAAGAAUAUUAGUUCAAGUUUGAGAAAAAUGGCGACUUACCUAGUGAUAACUCGGUCUUGGUUUGCGAUUUGACUUUAACGUCAUGGGUUGAAGCCUCCUACAAUCAUCGUGUAUGCUAGUUCAAAGCUCGUGGAAGAAGUUAUACAGGGAGGGAGAAACCUCCACAGCAAGCUCCAAAAGAGAAUUAUCACAUUGAAAGCUCCAGUUGAACACUGGGUGAAAGCCAUAACAAGAUUGGUUUUCUAUCGCUCUUUUAAGUAAUGGAAGAUUAUUAUCUCUGCUUGUCACUACAACCGUGCAUGCUGCUAGAUCUUUCUAGACACUUCAAACAGUGAAACCAAGUAUGAUUCUUUUUCUCUUGAGUGGGUCCACUUGCAUGCCAAUGAACGAGUUGAAAAGUUGGACAAUUGGCCACAGCGCGCACUUACCUUCUGGAACCGAAGGUCAGUGAAGUGGGGUUCCUUUUGGCCCCUUGUGUUUCUGUUCCAACCUACUCCAGGAACCGAAGUUCAGUGAAGUGGGGCUACUUUUGGCCUCUUGUGUUUCUGUUCCAACCAAACAAAAAUGGGAGGGAAAAAUAGCAUUAUGCUUGUGCUAAAGAUCAACGCAUGAUAGCUGAAUAAGGGAGAAAAAGGCAUUGCUAUCUCAAUUUCAUAAACUUGAUAAGUAGUGACAUUAAUAGUCUUCCUCAUAGAUGGAUACAUGGUUUUAUUUUAUUUAUUUAUUUUUAUUUUUUUGUUUUAUGUCAAUGCUAAUGAAUGAAGUGCAUUAGCUUGUUUUGUGACUAGAACUACAAAUGUCCAAAUUGGAGCUUCUCCAAUAUAUUUCUCAGUGAGUUAUUGAUUAGAACUCUUGGAUUGAGUUCCAAGAUUUGAAUCAGACCCCUCUAGCAGCUUCAGGGGUACGUAGCAACCUAUAGCAUAUUAAUGAAGACUUAGGAUUUAGACUUAGGAAUACAAAUUAAUAUGUACCUCAUGCUCUGACUAGCUUCCCUGCGUAUGCACAAAAUGGAGAUGACUCCCAAAAAAAUAGCAGAAUCGCCUUAGUAUGUUUUUGUGGUUAAGAUGAUUCUCCACUUUAUAUAUCCACAUUGGUUCAUUAUGCAAAUUAAUCAACUAAGCUAUUUUUAUUUUUUCUUAAAUGUGAAAUAGGAGCUCCAAAUUAACCUAACCAUUGGCCUGAUUGAAUUGAUUUCACUUGCAUAAUGUUAUAGUAGAAGUCCGUAAUUUGAAUUUUAUUUUUGCAAAAGGUAACGUAAAUGAAGCAUUGUAAUUAAAUUUAUUUGUAAUUACAAACUAAUUUUAUUUUAUUAAGAAUUAAUUUAAUUACUCAUUUAAAAUAAAAAUCAGUUAUACUUUUACCAAGAUGAUAAUAUUCAUAUUUUUCUAGUUAACAUAUAUAAAAUAGUACACUUUUUCAUAUAAAAAAAUAAUUUAUGAUUUAUUAUAAUGUUACUAUUCACAUUUUACUAAAUUGAUGGUACAUGAUAGUGAGAGAAGGGGGUGUCACACUCAGCUAAAGUUCUUUUCAAAAUAUUGCAUGGUGUUUAAUUUUAUGUGUCGGCGCGCGUGUGAAUGGAACCUGCAAAAGUCCAAAUUGGCGUUUCUCCAUUUUCCACAUAGGAUGGUGACGUUAAUAGACAAAGAUACAAUAUCUGUAGACAUUGCUUAAAAAUCGAUGUGAAGUAUUAGAAAUUACAGGGCACUGUACUGGGGGAGCGGCUGCCCCGCCAAAGGAGGAAGAAUGUAGCAAUUUCUUCUGUUAGCCAGGCCUUAGGAUUUAUGCAUGGGAUGCCUAAUAACAAACAGAGAAAAUAUACUUUUGGGGAAGGUAUCCAACAACAGACACCAUCAUUCAGAUGGUGGGAAGGUAUCCAACAGAUGCCAUCAUUCAGAUGGUAACAUAUAUAUACAUUUAUUAGUGAGUUUUUUUAAUACCUAUAAAAAAAAAUAUACACUUUGAUAUUGUGGCUGAAUCCAUUACAUACUCAACUAACCUUGCUCAUUAGGGAUUUGACUUAACAAGGGCAACGUUGCAGUACAAGCUCAAAACUUUAUGCAGGUGACAUUACAUUUGGUAAAGAAGAGGAAAAUAACGAAAGCCAUCCAUAAAAGCAAAAUUCCACAUGGGAUGAAAUUCACAAGCUUCAUUUACGAUAGAGUCGCAUCCAGGCAAUUAAUUCCACAUUAGACCGCCUGUUGACAUGUGUACCAAUCUUUUUUCAAAAAAUAUUUAUAAAUAAUUGAUACUCACAAAAAUAAUUUAAUAUUUAUAAAGGAUAAAAAAAUAUUUUCAAAUCUAUAACAAUUUAUAAAAUAUUAAUAAAAAAUUAUCUCUUAAACUUAGUAUAGUUUUAUCAGAUUAAACUUUUAUUUUGAACAAAUAAUUUUAAUCUAAGUUUUAAAUUCUAAAAUUAUUUCCUUAAAAUAAAAUUUUAAAAUUCAACACUUCAAUUGAAAUUGUCUUUUUAAAAAAUAUCUUCUUAUUUUAAUCCUUAUAAACUAUAGUUGAUUGAAAAUACUAUUGAAGUUCUCUCUUAAAAAAAAGUCUUAUUUUAAUCUUCAUAAAUUGCCCUUGAUUUGAAAAUAAAUUUUCAGUUAUCAUAUUUUAAAUAAUAUCUAUAUUUAAAAUACUCUAUUUAAAAAAAAAUGAACUAAUUUUAAUUAUAUUAUAUUUUAUUUUUUUAUAUAUUUUUAAUGAUAAACCAAACAUAGAAAAUCAUUUUUCUAAAUAUUUUAAAAUUUCUAAGCAACCAAACAUAAUCUUCAAAAUAAAAGGAAAAUAAGGAGGGACAUUUGAGAAAUGGCGAUUAAAAAAAAGUGUACAAAAGCUCAAUUAAUUUUCUUCUAGUCUUUUAUAUAAAAAAGUAAAGGAAUUGAAAAGUAUUGAUAUGUAAAUUAAUAUUUGGAUUUUAAUAGUAUUUUAUUUGUCUUUCUCUAUCUCAUGUAAAAGAGAAUUUAAGAUAUUUCCUAAAGCAAAGCAUUAGUUAUCUGCAAUCAGUGGUGAUCAUGCCCCAUGUCAAUUUCGGACCCAUAUCUUAAAACUGUAUAAUUUGCAUUCAAACAUUACUGAUUUCUCAGAUGUUUCAUACUCCACAGAAGAGCAUUGUUUGUGAAAGCAUGCAUUUAUGUUGGAUUUUGGAUGAUGUGGGAACUGGGGCAAGGAUCAUAUGGAAGAGUGGUCGAUUUUGUUCUGUACUUUAACAUUUGAAAUAGGAGAAGCUCGGGCAUUUGUGGGGCUUAAUUGAUUUUGAAGCCUGAAAUUGCGUUUCUGUCAUUUUGUAAAAAAUAUGGCAGAUUCCAUGCUCUCAUAUGUUUGGUCUGUGGCCAUGUAUAGAUGCCCCUUAGUGACCAGUUUGUAACUGUCAAUCAUAGUGUUUUGACUCUGGCUCAACAACAUCAGCCAUUGACGGAUUUUCAUACUUGCAAAUCAAAUAGUCUUCUUCCUCCCUUAGGAAUUUCGGUUUAAAUGUUAUUAAGCAUACAUUUGGCUGACAAUUAUUAACCACUUCAUGAUAUGGUUUCUUACCCUUAAUCAAUGGUUUCUAAGUGAAUAUAUGCAGAAGGAAAUCUGAACUGUAGACAGCAGUAUUGAUAACUCUCAAUAUUCUUUAUAUAAGAGAAUAAACAACGUCAUAGUGAUCGUCGCCUACAAGAAAGGUACAUUUCCCAACAAGAUGUAGUUGUGACUGGUACAUGGACGCAAUUAACUCGUACAAAAGAAUAAGACCAGUGCACGGCAGCUCUUAUUUUACAUGCUAAUUAUGCUAACCAAAGUCACUCAGUUGGGAUGGGAGGGAGAUGGAGGUUUGUGCGGUGGCUUGUGGGGCGGAGUUGGUGGCUUCUUUUCAGGAGCUUGUGGCUUUUUCGGAGCUGAAGGAGGCUCAAUCUUAUGAGGCGGCUUGUACGAGUCUUCUUUACUCUCGACAGGAGGGUGGCCAGGGUUGUGACCAUAAUGUGGUGGCUUCUCUCCCUUAGGUGGCUUGCCAACUGGGGUUGGUGGCUUGUGUUCAGGAAGUGGUUUCUCUCCCUUGGGAGGUUUACCAAUUGGGGUUGGUGGCUUGUGUUCUGGGAGUGGUUUCUCUCCCUUGGGAGGUUUAGUGGGUGACUUGUGUUCUGGAGGUGGCUUCUCCACCGGAGGCUUGUGCUCCGGUGGUGGCUUCUCCACCGGAGGCUUGUGCUCCGGUGGUGGCUUCUUGAUUGGAGGGGGCUUGGGGUAAUCAGCAAGAGAUGGGAUGGUGAGAACCACCACUCCAAGGAACAACACUAGCAAGUAUGUGGGAGACAUUUCUGAGUUUGAGCUGAUCAGAUGAUGCAAAACUAGAAGAAUUACGGGACCUUUUAUAGCAAGUAUCUCCCAAUACCCACAUGACACGUGUUACUAUGACCAUAAAUAUUAUAGGGUCCAUUUGUGCCCUACCGGGUUGAAAACUUGGACGCUUGGCCGAGGACACACCUGACUAUGGAGGACUAUUGACGUGUGAUCACAGCUUUUGGAUUUUUCUUCCUGUGCAGCUGUCUAGCGGUUGGCAUUAUUUUCUUAAUCUUAAAUAAAGGCAUAGUUAUAGAGUUGUUUAAUCUCUAAAUGGGAUUUUAUAUAUCUUCAGAUAGCCAUUAAUAUAUUUGAUGAAGAAAGACAAGUGCAUACAACAUGUAUACGGCUUGCUUCAAUCGAGUACAUUUAUGAUCAGUUUUCCUGUGCAAGUAAACCAGUUUUUUGUUCCACAACUAUUUUGGAAUCUUGUUUAUCAGUUUCUAUCAUUAUAAUGUCACAUAGGCUGCAAACUUGGGCACCCAAAGAUCUAGGUGGGCAAAUUUGUUUCAGACUUUCAAUGGUGGAUUCAGUAAUUGUUAAAAGGUGUUUCUUCAUUAAGGAAAGAGUCCGGUAAAAAUAUUGUUAAAAGGUGUCAUAGAAACUAUAAUAAAUAAAUAACUUCUUUUCCCCAUGGGUGGUGUUUCUUCUGGGGAUCAGUGACUGGUUAGGGUCACCCAAAAUGAGUCCAGAUUAAAAUUGGUUCGAGUCAAAGCAGUCUCUUUUGUCCAGAAAUCAACUAUUUUGCGCAUUGAAUGAAUCGAUAAAGAAAAAAUGAAAGCCAAAUCACACCUCCCCUGCAAAACCUAAACCCCGGUUGCUAACUUUCUAUGUUUCAGUCCUAUUCAUAUAGGAAUAUUGGUUCAAGUUUGAGAAAAAUGGCAACUUACCUAGGGUUUACUUGGUUUUGGUUUGCGACUAUUUACGCAACCAACCAUGAGUUUGACUUUAACGUCAUGGGUUGAAGCCUCCUACAAUCAUGUAUGAUAGUUCAAAGCUCGUGGAAGAAAUUAUACAGGAAGGAAGAAACCUCCAAAGCUAGCUCCAAAAGAGAAUUAUCACAUCGAUAGCUCCAGAGAUUCCCAAGGGAACUGAAUCAAAGACAAGUUCCUCACUUUUUCUUCUUUUGAGGCCAAAUAUGAACCAAGGAUCACACGACCUCAUUCAACUUCAUAAGUUUGAUUUCAUGCAGUUGAACACUGGGUGAAGGCCAUGACAAGAAUUGAUUAAAAAAUUCUACCACUCUUUUAAGUAAUGGAAGAUUAUUAUCUCUGAUUGGCACCACAACAGCACAUGCUGCUAGAUCUUUCUAGACACUCCAUGCAAUGAAAGCACAAUGGAUCUUGUAAUGAUAGAAACUAAGCCAUGCUACAGUACUAGAUGAGGGGGUAAAACUAGUAGACAUCUUUCUAGACACUCCAUGCAAUGAAAGCACAAUGGAUCUUGUAAUGAUAGAAACUAAGCCAUGCUACAGUACUAGAUGAGGUGGUAAAACUAGUAGACAUGGCUGGCAGUUGAUUACUACUCAAAAAGUACUCUUUUAUAGCUUGAAACUAACUGUUUUAAACACUUUUGAGUAGUAGUUAAUACCUUUUAACUUAAUUGGCACAUUAAGGAACCUAGCAAGGGUUACUAAUCAACAUUUGGCAAGUUUUGAUGUUUUUGGUAGCUAUUUGAUCAUUGAAACAAGCCAAGAAUGAGGGGGAAUUUUGUGAAGUCCAUGGCAAUGCAAGUUAAAGCUCAAAUACAUGAAGAAUCCAAGCUUUGGAGCACUUCAUAGCCCUUUGCCAAGCCAAUCAAAGAUGCAAGGAAGAAAACCAAAGGAAGAAAUCCAACAAUCAGCAUUUUGGCAUGGCUAUGUGAAAUUUCGCACACCAUGCGAAACCACAAGAGGCAGCCAAAGAAUUUCGCAUGGUAUGCGAAAUCUUCUUGUGCACUGACUCUGUUAGAUUUUUAUCUUCAGAUAUUUUGUGUAAUUUCCUAGUUUCUCCUUGUAACCAACUUAGAUAUUUUCUUUUAUAUCUUUUUUUAUAUUUUUUAGGUAACAUCAUAUAUAAGAGGAGAGACAUAAGGAGGAUAUGGAUGUUUUUCAUAGAACACUUGUAAAUUUUUGGUAGUAAGAAAUAUACAAAGCUUUUUGCUCUGCCUUACCUUCUCAAGGGAUGAGUGGCUAGGUUUUCUUGGAGUGAGGGAAGCUAGGUGAAGGACCUGAAUGCAAAGGUGGGAGUUUUCCUUACUUUAAAUGAAAGUAGUUGUUAAACAUUAAUGGUUUUUAUUUUAAGGUUUAGCUUUAAAUCCCUGAAAAACACCUUGAAUGGCCAAUACUUGGUAAGCUUUUUAGAUUCUAUGGAUGCUUAUUGCUAGAUCCAUGGAUGUCUAUUAGUUAUCAUUUACGAGCCAUUGGAAGGUGAUUCAAGGUGAGGGUCUUUAGUGUUUGAAGCCAUUAAUGGGAAGCAAUUACCAUUUUUUCAUGAAUCCUUUGGAUCAAAUCUUAAUUGCUAAAUAUAAAACCGGUUUCGAGAGAUAACCACCAUCCUUUAUGUUAUUAUCCCCAACGCGAGGAGAAGAUCCGAAAUCUUCCUUUUUAUCUAAGGAACCCGAUCCUAGUGACCUAAAGCUCCAAGAUACCUUUUCUUUGUAGUUAACUUCAUUUAUUGUUUUUGCUUAACUUAAAAUCAAUCUUUGCAACCACAAUUCCAUUUUCUUUAAAAGCUAAUUUUUAUAAGGAAAAACACCAUUUUAUUUCCUUCACUAAGUCAACUGUACGAUGAAAACCCAUCCCUGUGGACGAUCCUAGAGCCACUAUACUAUGUUAGCUAUGCUACCCUAGUGUGAGGUGAUUUAGGUUUUAUAAAUUUUUUUGAUAACACCCAUCUGAGCCAGAAUCAAAUGGCACGACUGAACCAGGGACGAAUCAAAUGACGCCGCUACCAAGGAUGGUGCCAAAGUACAUUGACAUGACUUUUGGUGAACACUUGUGAUCUUCACCACAAGUUUGGUGAUUUUUCUUUUACUAAUUUUUUUUAUUUUAGCUUAUCUUUUAUUUAGUUUUUAGUUAACCUUAAAUUUUUCCUAGAAUUGUAUUUCUUUUGUUUUCUUUGUUUUUGUUUCAGUGAUCUUUAGUUGUGCAUGCCCUAUUGGAUAAGAGAUAUUGAGGGAAUACUUGUGAAGAUUGAAACUCCUCGAGAAACUGAGUUAGAAGUGUGCUUGAACAUCAUGGAUGUUCCACCUGAAGACCAGAAUAGCCAACAUGGUUAAGAGGAUAAUUUCAACACAUACCGAUCCAUGAGGAACCGCAUACAUCCACCUUGUAUGAGUGCACCGUCAGGCAUAAUGCCUCCCACUGAGCAGCUAGUAAUCUGACCUCACAUUGUGCCACUCCUACCUACUUUCCAUGGGAUGGAGAGUGAGAAUCCCUACUCGCAUAUUAAGGAAUUCGAGGAGGUUUGUAAUACAUUCCAAGAAGGAGGAGCUUCAAUUGACUUGAUGAGGCUCAAGCUAUUUCCUUUCACUUUGAAGGAUAAGGCCAAGAUUUGGCUUAAUUCUUUAAGGCCAAGAAGUAUCCAAACUUGGAUUGAUUUGUAAGCCGAGUUUCUUAAGAAGUUCUUCCCUACCCAUAGGACCAAUGGUUUGAAAAGGCAAAAUUUGAACUUCUCAGUUAAAGAGAAUGAGAAAUUCUAUGAGUGUUGGGAGAGCUACAUGGAAGCUAUUAACGUUUGUCCUCACCAUGGCUUUGACACAUGGCUCUUAGUGAGCUAUUUUUACAAUGGUAUGUCUUCUUCAAUGAAGCAACUCCUAGAAACUAUGUGUGGAGGAGACUUCAUGAGUAAGAAUCCGGAGGAAGCCAUGGACUUUUUGAGUUAUGUGGCUGAAGUUUCAAGAGGAUGGGAUGAACCAAAUGCUAGAGAGGUGGGAAGAAUGAAGUCUCAACCUAAUGCUAAGGGUGAGAUGUAUGUUUUGAAUGAAGACAUUGACAUGAAAGCAAAGGUUGCAGCUAUGGCAAGGAGAUUGGAAGAGCUAGAAAUGAAGAACAUACAAAAAGUGCAAGCCAUUUCUGAGACAUCAAUGAAAGCUAUGCCUUGUUCCAUUUGUCAAUCUUAUAAGCACCUAGUGGAGGAGUGUCCUACAAUUCCAGCAGUGAGAGAGAUGUUUGGUGAUCAAGCAAAUGUUAUUGAUCAAUUCAAGCCUAAUAACAAUGCUUCAUAUGGCAACACCUACAAUUCAAAUUGGAGGAACCAUUCAAAUUUCUCUUGGAAACGAAAGCCACCUCAAUACACACAACCUACUCAAGCACCUUAGCAAUCCUCGAAUCUUGAACAAGCUAUUGUGAACCUUAGCAAGGUUGUGGGAGACUUUGUGGGAGAUCAGAAGUCCAUCAAUGCUCAACUGAAUCGGAGAAUUGACAGUGUGGAGAGUACAUUGAACAAAAGGAUGGAUGAGAUGUAAAAUGAUCUGUCUCAAAAGAUAGACAAUGUCCAAUACGUAAUCUCAAGGCUUACCAACCUCAACACAGUGUAAGAGAAAGGAAAGUUUCCUUCUCAACCUCAUCAAAAUCCUAAGGGUAUCCAUGAAGUAGAGGCUCAAGAGGGAGAAUCUUCAAAGGUGAGGGAAGUCAAAGUAGUUAUCACCUUGAAGAGUGGUAAAGAGGUUGAUCAACCCACAUCCAAGCCAAAGCAUAAUGAAGAGAGUGUAGCAGAAAAAGAAAAGAGAGGAAAAUAAAGGAAUUAGAAUAGAGAAAAAUACAAAGAAAGAUGACCAUGAGUCUAGUGUGGAUGAAGAGCCCGAGAGGAUGGUGAUCAAGGAAGAUAUGAUGAAGAAACACAUGCCUCCACCUUUCCCCUAAGCUUUGCAUGACAAAAAAAGAACCAAUAAUACAUCAGAAAAUUUUGAAGUAUUGAGGCAAGUGAAGGUCAAUAUCCCUUUGCUAGACAUGAUCAAACAAGUGUCGACAUAUGAAAAAUUCUUGAAGGACUUGUGCACUGUAAAGAGAGGGUUGAAUGUGAACAAGAAAGCUUUAUUGACCGAGCAAGUGAGUUCCAUCAUACAGUGCAAGUCCUAGUGAAGUACAAAGAUCCGGGUUGCCGUACCAUCUCAGUGAGUAUUGGAAGGACUUGUGUGGAGAAAGCUUUGUUGGACUUGGGAGCAAGUGUGAAUUUGCUAUCCUACUCUGUCUAUAAGCAGUUGGGAUUUGGAGAGUUGAAGCCAAUAUCCAUCACUCUAUCUCUAGCGGAUAGAUCAAUGAAGAUUCCAAGAGGGAUGAUCGAAGAUGUCCUGGUUCAAGUUAACAAAUUCUACUAUCCAGUAGAUUUUGUUGUUCUUGAUAUGGAUCCGGUUGUCAAAUGAACUAAUUAUGUUCCUAUCAUACUUGGAAGACCCUUCCUAGCUACAUCAAAUGCAAUCAUCAAUUGUAGGAAUGGAGUCAUGCAACUCACAUUUGUCAACAUGACAUUAGAGCUCAACAUCUUCCAUUUGUACAAGAAGCAUAUCCAUCAGGAGGAAAAAGAAGGUCUAGAGGAAGUGUGAAUGAUUGACACUUUAGUGGAAGAGCAUUGUGAUCGAGAAUGCAAAAAGAUUUAGUUGAGAAUUUUGGGGAUCUUGAUGAAAGGUUACUUGAACCCUCAGAUUUGCUUGCUACCCUACUCCAUUGGAAGAGAAGAGAAGAAAUUCUACCCUUAUUCAAUGAGGAGGAGACGCAAAGAGCUGCAAAGGAGAAACCCCCAAAACUUAUUCUUAAGCCACUACCCACAGAGUUGAAGUAUGUAUACUUGGAAGAAGACAAGAAGUGCCCUAUUGUUAUAUCUUCAACUCUUACCAUUCAUCAGGAGGAUUGUCUACUUGAAGUCCUUAGAAGAUGUAAGAAGACAAUAAGGUGGCUAAUUUCUUAUUUGAAAGGGAUCAGCCCUUUAGUCUGCACCCAUCAUAUUUACAUGGAGGAUGAAGCUAAGCUAAUUCAUCAACCUCAGAGAAGGUUGAACCCUCACAUGCAAGAGGUGGUUCGAGCUGAAGUUCUGAAGCUACUUCAGACCAGUAUUAUUUACCCCAUAUCAAAUAGCCCAUGGGUGAGUCCUACUCAAGUUGCGCCAAAGAAGUCUGGGAUCAUGGUGGUGCAAAAUGAUAAGGGAGAAGAUGUCUCUACACGCCUCACUACAGGUUGGAGGGUGUGUAUCAAUUACAGGAGGUUGAAUGCAGUGAUAAGAAAGGACCAUUUCUCAUUGCCCUUUAUUGAUCAGGUGCUUGAGAGGGUCUCUGGGCUUUUUUUUUUAUUGUUUCUUGGAUGGCUACUCCGGGUACUUUCAGAUAGAAAUUGAUGUUGAAAACCAAGAUAAGACCAUUUUCACAUGCCCAUUUGGAACCUAUGCAUAAAGGAGAAUGCCUUUCGGCUUAUGCAAUGCACCCGCAACUUUCCAAAGAUGCAUGUUAAGCAUUUUCAGUGAUAUGGUGGAGCGUAUUAUGGAAGUCUUUAUGGAUGAUAUCACCAUUUAUGGAAGUGCAUUUGAUGAAUGCUUGGUCAACUUAGAAGCUGUUCUGAACCGAUACAUUGAGAAAGACUUAGUGCUUAACUGGGAGAAGUGCCAUUUCAUGGUACACCAAGGGAUUGUCCUUGGGCACAUUAUCUCCAAGCAAGGCAUUGAAGUUGACAAAGCAAAGGUUGAACUCAUUGUUAAGUUGCCAUCCUCAACAAAUGUCAAAGGAGUAAGGCAAUUCUUUGGCCAUGUCGGGUUCUAUAGGAGGUUUAUCAAGGAUUUCUCUAAGCUUGCAAGGCCUCUUUGUGAAAUAUUGGUGAAUGAUGUUAAAUUCAUAUGGGAUGAUGGAUUUGAAAGGAGUUUUGAAGAAUUGAAGCUAUUUUUGACAACCGUACCAAUAGUGAGGGCUCCCAACUGGCAACUGCCCUUUGAAGUAAUGUGUGAUGUCAAUGAUUUUGCUAUAGGAUUUUUUCUUGGGCAAAGAGAAAAUGGAAAACCUUAUGUGAUCUACUAUGCGAGGAAGGCAUUGAAUGAGGCACAAAGAAACUACACAACCACCGAGAAAGAAUUGUUAGCUGUAGUUUUUGCCUUGGAUAAGUUUCGCGCUUACUUGGUGGGGUCCUUCAUCAUGGUUUUUACUGAUCACUUUGCUUUGAAGUAUCUGUUGACUAAGCAAGAUGCUAAAGCAAGGCUGAUUAGAUGGAUUCUCUUACUUCAAGAGUUCAAUCUCCAUAUCAAAGAUAAGAAAGGAGUGGAGAAUGUGGUAGCAGACCACAUUUCAAGGCUAGCUAUCGCACAUAAUUCCCAUGCUUUGCCCAUUAAUGACGAUUUUCUAGAGGGGUCUCUCAUGUUGGUGGAAGUUGUCCCUUGGUACGCUCACAUUGCUAACUACCUGGUCACGGGAAAAGUUCCAAGUGAGUGGAAAGCACAAGAUAAGAAGCACUUCUUUGCAAAAAUUCAUGCCUACUAUUGGGAAGAGCCAUUUCUAUUCAAGUAUUGUAUGGAUCAGAUAAUAAGGAAGUGCGUUCCUGAAGAAGAGCAACAGGGGAUCCUUAGUCAUUACCAUGAAAAUGCAUGUGGAGGCCACUUUGCUUAUCAAAAGACAGCCAUGAGGGUGUUGCAAUCGGGUUUCUGUUGGCCAUCACUUUUCAAAGAUGCCCACACCAUGUGCAAGAGUUGUGAUCGAUGCCAGAGGCUUGGGAAGUUGACACGCAGGAACAUGAUGCCUUUGAACCCCACUUUAAUAGUUGAUAUUUUUUAUGUUUGGGGCACUAACUUCAUGGGACCUUUCCCUAUGUCUUUUGGCUACUCUUACAUCUUGGUAGGAGUAGAUUAUGUUUCUAAGUGGGUUGAGGCAGUCCCAUGCAAACACAAUGACCAUAGAGUGGUUCUCAAGUUUCUUAAAGAGAAUAUCUUCUCAAGAUUUGGGGUGCCCAAAGCCAUAAUUAGUGAUGGGGGUACUCAUUUUUGCAACAAGCCUUUUGAAACUCUCCUAGCCAAGUAUGGGGUGAAGCAUAAGGUAGCUACACCUUACCACCCUCAAACUCAUGGACAAGUUGAGUUAGCAAACAGGGAGAUUAAAAACAUAUUGAUGAAGGUGGUGAACACAAACAGAAAAGAUUGGUCAGUCAAGCUUCUUAAUUCACUAUGGGCAUAUAGAACAACUUACAAGACCAUUCUCGGGAUGUCUCCUUAUCGCCUAGUUUAUGGCAAAGCAUGCCAUCUCCCUGUGGAAUUGGAAUACAAAGCUUGGUGGGCAAUCAAGAAGCUCAACAUGGAUUUGAGCAGAGCUGGGUUGAAGAGGUUCUUAGACCUUAAUGAGAUGGAGAAAUUGAGAAAUGAUGCCUACAUCAAUUCAAAAAUUGCAAAAGAAAAAUUGAAGAGGUGGCAUGAUCAGUUGAUUUCCCGCAAGGAUUUUCAAAAUGGACAAAGAGUCUUACUUUAUGACUCUAAACUCCACAUCUUUCCGGGCAAGCUGAAAUCAAGGUGGAUAGGUCAUUUUACCAUUCACCAAGUGCAUUCAAAUGGAGUAGUGGAACUACUCAACUCCAACAAUAUCGAGAACUUCAAAGUGAAUGGCCACCGUCUCAAGCCCUUUGUGGAGUCUUUUUCUCACAACAAGGAGAAAUUCAUCCUCCUUGAUCCACAUCAAGCUUAACAAGACCAAUUUUCUUGAUGGACUUAGUCUUUCUAAAGACUAUCGAGUCCAUAACUUUUUGUUUUAUUUUUUAUUUGAGAUUUUUUCGGUAUUGUUACUUGUUUUGUUUUUUAUUUUUCGUUUUAAUUUUAUUUGGUUUGAUUUAACUUAGGUUUUUGAUGAUCAAUUACAGGGGGGAUUUCAAAUAGAGGAAAAACCAAGAUAAUUCGCACACCCUACGAAAAUUUCGCAAGGCAUGCGAAAUUUAUGGCUUAUUUUGCAUGGGGUGAAAAUUUUCGUACAUCUUACGAACCAAUUUCGAACACUUUGCGAAAAUAAACCAACCCUGCGAAAUCAUUUCGAUUACUCUACGAAAUUUUCGUAGAGCAUGCGAAAAAUUUAGCACACCAAACACCAUUUCGCAUACUAUGCAAAAACCUAAGGGGUCUGCGAAACCAUUUCGCACCUCCAAAUCCAUUUCGCACAUUGUGCGAAAACCAAGAGGCGCUGUGCGAAAAUGAAAAGUCGCCCUGUCAUCCCUUUUUAAACCCCUCGAGCCCUAAAAUCUCCAUUUCGCAAGCACCCCUGUCCUUGCGAAUCCCUCAUUUUCCUCUACUACCUUGCAACCUCGUCCCUUUCCAUUUGAUAUUGUGCCCCGCGCACAUCUCAUUUCAGAGACUCGCACUCCGCGCCCCCUCAAAGCAUGGACUCGAGACCCACCUUCCAUUUCCGACGUGGCACGGACCCAAGGAGCCCUUUCUGCCCCUUCACUAAGACACACACCAAGGCAGAAAGCCUCCUUUGCUCAAGUGCCUAGUGAUUCUCCAUCUUAGGCCUCAGAGGCCUCGGAGGCCCCGUGGAUUCCACCUUCCGAGGGUAGAGCAGCCAUUGGUCCUUCCUCUUCUACUCCUUAGCGUAGAUACGAGACGAGGAGACCACCUACUACACAAGGGGCGACUACUUCGAGCCUUGAGAAUUCAGUACGAUGCCUUCCUGCCAAGAGGGUCAAGACUUCAGGUCCAAGUGAGUCAUCCAGAGCUUCAUAGCCUAAGCCUCCUGUAGAUUCCAAGGUUCCUACUGACAUAUCACCGGAGUCUAUUAUCAGAAGCCCGAUGCUCAUAGCACCGCCCAUUGAGGGCAACUCAGAUUAUAGAGCGAGAUCUUUCCACUUGGAGCUAUAUUUUGAUCAGGAGGCCAUACGACAGCAGCCUGAGCUCCGAGACUCUUAUGGCUUACUGCAGAGGUACCAUCUUGAGGAACUUAUGACUCCUCGUGAGUUUUUUUAUCCCAGAGUAGCACUAAACUUUUACCAGUCCAUGACUACUCGUGGCGUCCCGAGUCCUACCACGAUUCACUUCACCAUUGAUAGACGUCAUGGUAUCCUCAAGGCCAGACAUAUUACAGAGGCUCUACAAAUUCCUUUCGAGCUAGAGGAUCCAUCUGUUUUUCGCUAAUGGUCCCCAGUAUCUCAGAGGGACAUGGUCCGUAUUUUAUCUAGGGGAACAUCUACAGAUUCGAUCUUUCUACGGAAGGAGCUUCGACCUGGGAUGCUCCUCUUAGAUGUGGUGCUAUGCUCCAACCUCUUUCCCUUACAACAUUCGGUACAUAGGUGAUGAGCUAUUUUGGACGCUUUAUUCCGUAUAUCAGAGGGCUUCUACUUUGGCCCGCACCACUUGAUCAUGGUCUCCCUCAUCCACUUUGAGGAGAAGGUUCAUAGGAAGAAGCUUCAGAGGGUGGACACCAUUCCAUUACUAUUCCUGAGGUUACUUUGCCAGGUCUUGGAGUACAUGGGCUUUCCUACUGAGCCUCGGCUCGAGCUUUGCCGCCUUUGUCGAGAGUGAUCCACUCUCGACAAAUGGAAUUAGUUGGCGGGCUAUUCUGCACCUCCAGGAGCCCCUCCCAUGGUAGCACCUCCAAUGUCCCCACAGGCAAAGUAGGGCGAGCUCCCGGCAAAGACUGUACCACCAAUGCCCACACUUGAGGCUAUUUCUGCUGCUCUGCCUAUGACUCCUACUGUUCCACCAGUUGGUCCUUUUACAUCCGAGCCUUCCAUCACCAUCUCGGCUUCGGAGUUUCGCGCCCUUGUGCAUACCUUUCAGACACUCACCACCACACAUACUCCUCUCUUCUAGCAAAUGGUUGAGAUGUGUGCCCAUCAGGACCGGAAGACUACUAUACUCUGCCAAAUUCAGCAGCACCUAAGACUUUUGCCUCAACCUCAACCUAACCAUCCCAUAUCAUCAGAGCCUCUAGCUCCAACUGAGGAUACUAUUCCACCUGAGAACACUACCACAGUAGAGGUCCGGUUUCCACCACCUUAAGAGGCCACCACAGCUACAUCAGAGGAUGUGUCAUCUCCACUUGAGGCUCCCACUACUUGAUCAUAGGACAUAUCUUUAUCUUAUUGUAUUUACAUAUUAUAUUACUAGAGAUUUGUCCUUGUUUUGAUACUUUAUAUUCUGGGAUUGGAUGUAUUGCCUGAUGAUAUCUCAAUUGUACUUUCUCAUAUUAAUAUAUAGACAUCAAUUUUUUUUAGUAUACUUAGCAUUUUUCUAUUUCCUCUACUCAUUACUCUUUUGUUUUUUUUUACUCAUGUGGUUUCUCUUAUACAACUCAGACUCCAUUUCACUCAGGAGGUACCACUUCCUCCCUUUAUUUUCAAUUGCUCUUGAAAUAUUGAGUGCAAUGUUGAUCUUGGUUGGGGGGAGAGUUGAGGAAGGAAGUUUUGUUAAUAAUGCUAGGUUAAUUUGUUAAUUUAGUUACUUUCUGCUUAAUUUUAAAAGUUUUCACUCUACUUUCCAUGGUUAUUAAGGAAAAAUUCUCAAAAUGAAAUGGGAGAAAUCGAAUUCUUGCAUUUUUACUUGAAUCUUAGAAUUUGUAUCAUGCUUAUUAAAGUUGAUGAAUUAUUGAAACUCCUAUUGAAUUCAACCUUAUUUUUUCCACUUUAAUCUUACCACACACGGUGCACAUUAGGUUCCAGUUAUAAGAUAAAAAACUAUCUCACCCCCUAAACUUAGAAAAAUUUACACUUGGUACCUUUGACAUCGUUUUAAUAGUGUUGGGACACCUUAUAAAAGGCCAAUGAGCCUUUAAAAAAAAAAAAAAAAAAAAAAAGAGAAAGAACAAAGUAUUGCACUUGCCUUGAAACCUGAGCAAGAUCCGAGGGGUAUACAGUGAAAGUCUUUAAAACCUGGUGCCCUAAGCCUUGAUUGGUUGGGAGUCACCGACCUCAAUGCUCGUUAUAAGGGUGAAUAGGUGGAGUUUAACAUAUUGUAGGUGCUUGGGUAUUGAAUUUCAAUCUCAAAAGUCCGGGAAAAAAUCUAAGGAGUUAGUGGUCAAAAGAUCCUUAAAGCUUGAUGCCCUAAACCUUGAUUGGUUGAGAGUCAUUGAUGGAUCCCCGCUACAUGGACAUUUUAGAAAACAAUACCUUUAGCAUUGCACGCCUACAAUGAAAAAAAAAUGUGAAAUAAAAGAGGUGCGUUCUUAGCCUAUUGGAGGUUGGUCAGUUUGCUAAAGUUUGAGAAAUCUAGGUUGGGGGGAGAGAAUAGUCCGACAUACUAUAAUAAAAAACUAAUAACCUUAACACUUAGAUUUUUGUGGAAGAGUAAGGAUUGGACCUUUAGGGGUGGAAAUUCUUUUGAUGCUUAAAUUUGCAUAAUGCCUACUCUUUAUAAAUUAUGAUUAGGCAAGAGAUUUGAUGACUCUUGUUCAAAGUUGGGUUUUUCCUCUUUGAUGUUCCAUGAGAGAGUAUAAUCCUCAUCAUGCCACUUGAAAUCUUUUUGGAGUGAUUAACAUGAUUUUGUAAAUUAUUUUACUGUCUAUUUUUCUUUAUCUCUCUUUUAUUGCUAAUGGACUAGCAAUAUGUCAGUUGGGGGGAGUGAUUACUACUCAAAAAGUACUCUUUUAUAGCUUGAAACUAACUGUUUUAAACACUUUUGAGUAGGUGUUAAUACAUUUUAACUCAAUUGGCACAUUAAGGAACCUAACAAGGGUUACUAAUAAGUUUUUGGCAAGUUUUGGUGUUUUUGGUAGCUAUUUGAUCAUUGAAACAAGCCAAGAAUGAGGGAGAAUUUUGUGAAGUCCAUAGCAAUGCAAGUUAAAGCUCAAAUACAUGAAGAAUCCAAGCUUUGAAGCACUUCAUAGCCCUUUGCGAAGCCAAUCAGAGAUGCAAGGAAGAAAACCAGAGGAAAAAAUCCAACAACCAGCAUUUUCGCAUGGCUGUGCGAAAUUUUGCACACCAUGCGAAACCACAAGAAGUAGCCAAAGAAUUUUGCACACCAUGCGAAAUUUCGCAUGGUAUACGAAAUCUUCCUAUGCACCAACUCCGUUAUAUUUUUAUCUUCAGAUAUUUUGUGUAAUUUCCUAGUUUCUCCUUGUAACCAACCUAGAUAUUUUCUUUUAUAUCUUUUUUUUAUAUUUUUUAGGUAACAUCAUAUAUAGGGGGAGAGACAUAAGGAGGAUAUGGAUGUUUUUCAUAAAACACUUUUAAUUUUCUGGUAGUAAGAAAUAUACAAAGUUUUUUGCUCUGCCUUACCUUCUCAUUUUGUUUUCACCUAUCUUUCUAGCCAAACAACCUCUGAGAAUGAUUUCUCAGGGGAUGAGUAGUUAGGUUUUACGUUUCUUGGAGUGAGAGAAGCUAGGUGAAAGACCCAAAUGCUAAGGUGGGAGUUGUCCUUGCUUUAAAUGAAAGUAGUUGUUAAAUAUUAAUGGUUUUUAUUUUAAGGUUUAGCUUUAAAUCCCUUAAAAACACCUUGAAUGGCCAAUACUUGGUAAGCUUUUCGGAUUCUAUGGAUGCUUAUUGCUAGAUCCAUGGAUGUCAUUAGUUAUCAUUUAUGAGCCAUUGGAAGGUGGUUCAAGAUGAGAGUCUUUAGUGUUUGAAGCCAUUAAUGGGAAACAAUUACCAUUUUUUCAUGAAUCCUUUGGAUAAAAUCUUAAUUGCUAAAUAUAAAACUGGUUCGGGAGAUAACCAUCCUUUAUGUUAUUAUGCCCAAUGCAAGGAGAAGAUUUCGAAUCUUCUCAUUUGUCUAAGGAACCCGAUCCUAGUGACCUAAAGCUCCUAGAGACCUUUUCUUUGUAGUUAACUUCAUUUAUUGUUUUUGCUUAACUUAAAAUCAAUCUUUGCAACCACAAUUCCAUUUUCUUUAAAAGCUAAUUUUUAUAAGGAAAAGCACCAUUUUAUUUCCUUCACUAAGUCAACUGUAUGAUGAAAACCCAUCCCUGUGGACGAUCUUAGAGCCACUAUACUAUGUUAUCUAUGCUAUCCUAGUGUGAGGUGAUUUAGGUUUUAUAAAUUUUGUUGAUAACACCCGUCUGAGCCAGAAUCAAAUGGAACCACUGAACCAGGGACAAAUCAACAGCCUAUAUGGGAGGGACACAAGUUUAAUUGAUUUGCAUUUCAGCGUUAUAGAUAAGUAUGUUUUGGAAGAUUUGUUCUGGAAAUACUGCACCAAGUACGAUUCUUUUUCUCUUGAGUGAGUCCAUUUGCAUGCCAAUUAACGAGUUGAAAAGUAGGAGCACCUACCUCGUGCUCAUGGAACCGAAUGUCAGUGAAGUGGGGCUCCUUUUAGCCUCUUGUGUUUCUGUUCCAACCAAGGCGGCGUAGGGAAAAACAACAAUAUGUCUGUGCUAAAUAUCAACGCAUGAUAGAUGUUUUUUUUUUUUUUUUUGGUAUGUCAAGGCUAACGAAUGAAAUGCAUUAGCUUGUUUUGUGACUAUAACUGCAAAUGUCCAAAUUGGAGUAUCUCCAUUUCUCACUUCGGAUGGUUAACUUUAUAAACAAGAUAUAGGAAACAUGUGAACAUCUUGAGGAACAAUUCAAAUUAUUCAUUAGAAGUCCUGGGUUAAGUUCCAAGAUUUAAAUCAGACCCUUCUAGCAGCUUCAAGGGUACUUAGCAACCUAUAACAUAUUAAUGAAGAUUUAGGAUUUAGACUCCGGAAUACAAAUAAAUAUGUAUCUCAUGCUUUGACUAGCUUCCCUACAUAUGCAUAAAAUGGAGAUGACCCAAAAAAAAUAGCAGAAUCUAGCUUCCCUACAUAUGCACAAAAUGGAGAUGACCCAAAAAAUAGCAUAAUCGCCUUAGUUUCUGUGGUUAAGGUGAUUCUCCGCUUAAUAUCCACAUUGACUCAUUAUGCAAAAUCAACUGAGCUAAUUUUAUUUAUUUAUUUAAUGUCAAAUAGGAACUCCUAAUUAACUGAUUACUGUCGAAAAGUGCUAUUUUGUAGACCUAAUUAUAAGGGUUUUAAGCACCUUUGAGUAGUAAUCAUAUUCAUUUAACCUAAUUAAUUCAUUAAGCUCCUUAGUAAUUAGUUCUAACCAUUUUUAGUGGCAAGUUUACAUGUUUUUCAUCAGCUUAUGAACCAAUUCAAGCAUGCCAAUUGAUGGAGGAGCUACUUGGGCGAGUUAAGCAAGGAUUUUGGACGUUUACAGGCUUGAAUUUCAAGUGGAAACACGAGCACAAGCAAUGGGAACACCAUUUCGCAAGGGGAGGCAAUUCACCUUGCCAAAUGACCAAUUUCGCAAGGGGAUUUUCCUCAUGGUGCAAAAUUUGGUCAUUUCGCACCAUGAAGAAACCACCUUGCAAAAUUUCGCAAGGUGGAUUUAGGCACCUUGCGAAAUGCCAAAUUUCACAAGGUGGCUUUUCACCUUGCGAAAUUUGGACCUUUCAUCUUCCCCCCUUGCGAAAUGCCUUUGAAAUCCCCUGUUUUGAGACGCUGUUGAUGAUAUUCCACUGCCGGUUCUCCAAGAUAUUUUGCUUGACUUUUAGCUUUAUAAAUACCUAUUUUACCCUUGUAAUCAACCAAUGAAAAGGUUGCUUUUGUAAUAGCUCUUGUAAUUUAGCUUUUUAUUGUCUUUAAAUAGAGGUGAAGAGCCUCAGACACGAUCAUCUUGUAACCUGUAACUUUAUAAGUUAUAAGAGCACUUUUGUUCAUACGCUUCUUUUCUCUUUUCUUUCUCAUUUUCUUAGUAGCCAAACAUCCUUGGAGGAUGAAAUCCCCAAGGAUGAGAGGCUAAAACCUUUUAGUUUCUUGAAGUAAUGGAUGCCAUGUGAAGCUCCCGUGUCAGGAUGGAGAUUUCCAAGCCAUAAAUGUAAGUAGCUGAGCGUCAUAAAUGUUUUCAUUCAAAGUAAAGCUUUUAAUCCCUCUGACUUGCUUUGAAUGGCCAAUACUUGAUAACCUUUUGGUCUCAAUGGAUUCUUAUUGUUAGAUCCACUGACGUUCAUUAGUUAUCUCCUACGAGCCAUUGUAUUGCAAGUCGAGGAGAUGACCUAUACCAAUAAAAGAGCAUUUAUGAGGUUCAACUACCCUUUUUGUAAGUUUUCAAGGACUAAAACUCAGUUGUUAAACUCAUACCGGUUCGAGAAGUAAGCAUCACCUUAGUUGCUUCCCCAACUCGAGGUGAAAAGUCCCAAAAUCUCCAUUUUUACACAGUGAGUUAAGCAUGGCUAUCCAAAGCUUUAAGAAACUUCUUUUUCCAUCUUUUAACCUAUUUUCAUGUUAGUUUAGUUUACAACACCUUCAUCUUUUUAUGUUUUCAUCUUAACCUAAUUUUUAUUAAGAAAAGUUCACUCCAUCCUCCGAACUUCACCAGUUAAAGUAAAAACCCUUCCCAGUGUUCGAUCCUAGAGCCACUAUGCUAUAGUAGCUUUGCUACUUUAGUGUAAGGACCUUAGGUAUAAAUUUUGUUGAUACCCUUACAUGCCAAGCUACCAAGAGUCGGGUUAUCAUUAACCUAACCAUUGGCCUGUGUAAAUUGAUUUCACAUGCACAAUGUUGUAGUAGAAGUCCAUAUUUUGAAUUUUAUUUUUGUAAAGGUAAGGAAAAUGAAGCAUUGUGUAAUUAUAAAAAUAACUUCAUUGGAAUUCACAAGGUUCACCCAAAAUGGAGCUACAUCUGUAUUCUAUCCUACAGUAGACUAUAUAGAUUGUACAAUAGUAAAUUGCAAAUACAAUUAAUAAGUCUUGUGCUUCCUUACUAAUAAUCCUUUGACAUGAACAUUGCAGCACUAAGGUCCUCUUGGGAAGACACCUUGCACCCAUGAGAGCACUAAGAGGAAGCAAGGCAGAGUCAUGGGUGCAAUGUCAUGACUUGUUGUUGCACCAAGAGAGGCUUGGUGAUGCCAUGGUGUUGCAGUAGCAAGAAUGUUGCCUUGGCAGGGACACGAUCUAGGGAUAGAUGCCAAGAAAGGCUUAGCACUCACAUGAGUUGCACAAAGAUGAAUGUAAUAGAGCAUCAGAGAGACGUCUUGGCAAGUAAAUGAAUGGAUCCAAGAGACAACAACAUGAGGAGUUUCAAAUGGAUAAGGAAUGACUCAAAGACAUUUGAAAGCUACAAGUUGGAUUCUAAUUACGAUUGCAAUUUGAGUUUGAGUAGGAGUUUAGAUUUUGAUUGUAAUUGUAGUAUGAGUUGGACUAGGAUUGCUUAUCCUUAGUCAAUAUAGGAGCGGUUCGUGUCACCCUAUGAAAAGAGUUUGAGUAGGGACUAGGAUUGCUUACUCCUAGUCAAAUAUGGAGUAGGUGGUGCCACACCUAUAAAAAAAAGGGACAACAUGAGAGAGAGAGAGAGAGAGAAAGAGAGAGUGAAUUCACUAAAGAUAUUGUGGGAGUUUUGCUUUGUUACGUCUUGUAUUAUUACUUAGAAUAGGAAUAAAAUACAAGUUGGGGCUAGAGCCCCAUAAUUAAUCUCGUGUGCCUUUGUGGUUAUUCUUUAUUUGUCAUCUCGUGUGGAUUGGAUUAGGUUGACUUAGAGGGCUUCUAAGCACCACCUUUGUGGGUUAUUAUUUAUUUUCCAUCUCUUGUGGAUUAGAUUAGGUUGACUUAGAGGGCUUCUGAGCACCACCUUUGUGGGUUAUUAUUUAUUUUCCAUCUAUUGUGGAUUAGAUUAGGUUGACUUAGAGGGCUUUUAAGCACCACAUUUGUGGGUUAUUCUUUAUUUUCCAUAUCGUGUGGGUUGGAUUAGGUUGACAAGGAGAAAAAUUAUGUGGGAAAUUUGUGUUGGGACACUUACCAUAACCAAGUAAAAUCUACCAAGUCCUUUGUAAUAUCUUCAACAAAUAUUUUAGACUAGUUCUUUCAGUUAGUGUAAAGGAGGAAGAAGUGGUAUUGAUUCUAGAAAUAGGGUGUGUGUAUUUGAACUACAAUCCUUAUGAUCCUUAGGUCUCUAAACCUUCGUGAUGGGCUCCCUGACAUUUCAUAGGUUGUGCUACACAUGCGUUUGAAAUUUAGAGUGCGUUUGACAGUGAUUCCGGGAAGUGUUUUUGGCCUUUCUUACACUUGAAAAUUUUUAUUUUUCAAGUAUUAGAAAUGCUACAAACACUUUUGAAAAUUACUGUCAAACACACUCUUAGGAGCGCACAUAUAUAGUAGAAAACUAGAAAUUGUGGUUUUUUUAGGAUUUACUGUAAUGUCAUUAGGAGGGUAGUAAGUUGAAAUUGAGUAUGAACAAAUAUUUCUUUCUUUGGGAUGUUCUUCUAGUAGGUGCUGAUGAAACUGUUCUUUCUACUGCCAAUGUCACAUAUCAGCCAGAAAUUGAAAAUUUCAGUCAAGGUGUCCUCUGUUUUAGUGGUGAGGAAAGCUAGAAAUUUUAAGGUGAAGUUUUGUUAAAAACCUUAAGUAGCUGGGAUAUCAGGCCUGUUUUGCUUGAAAAAAAAAGUUGCAAGAUAACUCAUAUGCCAAACAGGUUCUGAUAUUGUGAAUCUAUCGGCAGACAUCAGUAAUCUCAUCUUCUGAGAUGGAUGUUGGGGGUGCAUGUGGUGGUGGAGGGGCAAGGUUUCAUUUGGUUUAUUUUGUUGAUGGAUAUUGUCUAGCCACCUGCGCCAAGUUUGAGGGGUGGUGGGUUGUGAUGACCCUACAAUUACUAUUAAUUUCUUCAUCUUUUACCGAUUAAAGUGUCCGAACAGUCGAAGUUACCCUUAUGCAUGUCAACUUGAUCACUUACCUCUUCAAUGGAGUUUAUGCUGGUUCAUUUAGGAACUGAUUUUUAUUGUUAUGUAUUAUAUGCUGAUGUUUAGGUCUCUCCAUCAUCACUAUAUACAAAAAUUCUAGGUUGAUACUAUAGGUUGAGAUUUAUUUUUUAAAUAAAAAAUAAUAAAAAUAAAAAUUAUGGUGAUGUUUAGUUGUUUUAUGGAAAAUUUUAACAAGUAAAAGUUAUUUUUGGGCAAGUUUUCAAACAAAAAGAAAAGUAAAAGUUGUUUUGACAAAAACAUAUAGAAAAAAAAAUCAUAGAAAAUAAAUAAUUUCCCCAUAUUCUAACUUUUUUGAAUUUUUCUCAAUGGGCAAAGGAAUAUCAAAUCAAGUUUGAGUAGGAUUUCUUAAUUUUUAAAAUAACUUACAAUUAAAAAAUUUUGGUGUUUUCAUUUUUGGACAAUUUUUUAUUAAGCAAAUGGACUCUGAGUCAUGCAAGAGAUAUGGUUCAUUAACCGGUCGAACAAUUUUUUUAAAUUAAUUUAAAAGUCAAAUACAUAAUCAAUUUCACAAAAUUUAUAAACAAAAAUAGGUUUAGAGAAGAUCUACACAUAAUUUUACUUUUCUAAUUUUAUUUUAUUUUAUUUUUUGUUGGAAAAUAGUCUUCAAAUCAUGUAAGAUUUAAUAGGUUAAAUUUGUUAACAAUAAAUUUUAAAUUAUAAAAUAUAAUCUGGAACUCAAAAAUCAAUUCAAGUAAUGCUAAAAAAAAAUCAAAUUUGGUAUAGAAUGACUUUGUAAAUUUUUUUACAAAACAAAUGAAUUUUAAAUCAAGUGAGAUUUAAUGCAUUAGAUUUUUAUCAAAUAUAGUAAUUUUAAAAAUAAAUUUGGAACUCAACAAUAGACACAAUAAAUACCAAAAAAUAAUGAACCAAAAUUGGUUUGGAAUAACUCCACAACCUUUUUUUUUUUUUUUUGGUGCACACGAAUUUUCUUACUAGGUAUAUUGCUUUCAAAUUGAGAAAGAUUUACCAUUUAGAUUUUUUUUUAAUGAGUUUAAUGGUAUUUUAAAAUAAUUCAAAAUUUAAAAAAUUGACUAAUUAAUAUUAUAAAUUGAUAAACCAAGACUAUUUCAAAAUGCAUUGGGGGCUAAGGGGGUUGAAAAUAGGGACAAUGGGAUGGGUUUGGGACAUGACACUCAUAUCUCAUUUCCAUUCCAAUUACACAGUUAUCUCCCAUCCUUAUCCCAAACUUGUGUUGGAGCAAGUUGAUUUGUUCCCAUCUUUGUUGACGAAAUGACUAAUAACCUCAUCCCCUCCUUAUCUUAGAUGUACAUUUUGUCAAAUUUGAUCAGGUAUGAUUGAUCCAAGCCCUAACCCUAAUUGGUAAUGAGUGAAUACUACACCUAAUUGCAUUCUUCUUUCAUUGCAAAAUAAUGAGAUUAUAAUAAUCUAGCAAAUAAGAAAAAAUAGUAUGGAAGUUCAAAUUAACACCAUAACUAUCAAUAAUUUUAAGCUUAUAGAUGACUUAAAUGAUUAAAAACUAAUGCAAAAUCCUAAAAAAAAUAAAAAUCAUAUAAAGAAUUCACAAGAGAACAGAAUGAACAAAAACCAAAUAUGAACAUGGGUCAACAUUAGUUAUGGAUUUGGAUUCCUUUCAAGGCCAAUCUUUGAACCAAGACUUCAUCAAAUCAACUACUUCAAAGGCUUUUGUGUUCUUCUUGGGUUGUGCUCUCAAACAAAGACUUCGAGGUGAUGUUCUAGAUGAUUGAAUUACACAUAUUUAGGGUGGAGAGAUUGGAGAAGCUUGAAGAUGCCAACGAUGGGUACAAUUGAGUGGUCAAUAAGAACAAUGUAGCCUAUGACUAGUUUGAUGUCAUGGUACAAGAGUUUUAGGCAUUGAGGUUAAAGCAAGAGCAACAUGGAAUUGAUUUCGGAGUCUUUCAGUUAGUGUAAAGGAGGAAGAAGUGGUGUUGAUUCUAGAAAUAGGGUUUUAAGUGGUGCGUGAUUACUACUCAAAAAGUGCUAUUUGAUAGCCUUUAAUUAAUCCUUUUUAACACUUUUGAGUAGUAGUUUAGGCCUUUUAACUCAAUUGGCAUGUUAAGGAUCCUUUAAAGCAAUUUUGAUCACUUUGUGCAAGUUUUGGUGUUUUUGUUAGUAUUUUGAUCACCAAAGCAAGUCAAGAAUGAGGAGAACUAUGAGGAAUCAUGGGCAAAGCUUAGAAUUCAAUUGCCAAGAGUGAAUCCGGAUUGCAAGGAGAAAAAGCAAAGAGAAUCUGUCAUGAAGCCUAUUCUUGAUGACAGUCGUAGCAGCCACUUUUGGAGCACUUUCUGAAGUCCAAAUGAUGCAAGCUAUAUACCAUUUCAAAGAUCAGGAAGUCAACAAUCCAAUGCUUCAAACGGUGCGCGAUUCGGAGUUGAAACGAAGAAGUUGCAGCCAUUACAAGCCAGUCACUCUAAAGUGUUGCGGAAUCAGCCUUUUGUUGCGAGAAUUUCGCAGCACUUUUGUACAGUAAGGUGUUUCUCCUUCUGACGAUGCACGAACCAUGCCGCGAGAGGGAAGCUAGGAACUUCAAGAUGGAAGCCAACUUUGCAGCCUGGUGAAGAUAGCUUGGUCUUGCGAAAUAAUUUCGCAGCCCUCUUGGGUGUCUGCGAAAUUUCGCAGGCACCACUUUUUUCCUGCGAAAUGGCUCCGGAAGCCUCCCGAAGCUUGCUACCGACAUUGGGAGAUAUUUUCCAUUAGAUUUUUGUUGUCUAAAUUCCAAAAUACUCCUUGUAAACCACCAAUUACAUGAUUCCUUAGUUUUUAAGUUAGUAAAAAGACCAAAUAUCUAUGUAAUAAUUAGUUUUAUAUUAGUUUGCUAUAAAUACCUCUCGGGAGCAUGUUCUCAGAGAGGAGUUCCUUCUGUAACCAUUUUGGUAAGCAAGUAAAGUCUUUUCUUUCUACUGCCUUACCUUCUCACUUUGUAUUUUCAUUUUAUUUCUAAGUUAUGAAUUCUCUGAGGAGCUUUCCCCAGAGAAUGAGUAACUAAACCUCCAAUUCCUUGGAGCUAAGGUUGCCGGGGAAGGUUCCAAGUGCAAGAAUGCAAAGCUCUGUGGUUUUAGCUAGUAAUGAAGAGGAAGUGAAAUCCUUUAGUGAUUUCAAUGUUUUUAGUUAACUUAAAACACCUUGGAGUCACCUGGGCCAACACUUGGUAAGGCAAGUGAUUUCCAACCGUGGAAAUGCACUAGUUUACCCCUUGCGAGCCUCUGGUAGGUGACUUCAAGGUAGGAUUUUCUGGAAUUACCAACACUUGGUAAGCUUUUGGACUCCUAGGAGACAUCCAUUAGUUAUCUCUUGCGAGUUUGUGAAGGGGAAUCCAAGGUUAAAGAUCACCUUGAAUGGUAAGUGCUCGUGAGAGGCAUGAACCAUUGCAAGUUGUAUCAGUGAGAGAAUUAAAGUGAAAUCUAAUUGAAGGAGUCUCUGUACAUCACCGGUUAGAGAAUUGACUAUAAGUUGAAUCUCUAAUGCGAGGAAAUGAACCAUCUGACCGGAGCUAUGUCUUUUGCAUGAGGAACCACCCCAGUGAACCUAAAUCUCCAAGGAAUGCUUUUCUUCCUAAAUUAUUCCAAACUUCUGUUAAGUUAGUUAGUUUAAGUCUAAACCUUUACCAAUCAAACUUUGUGUUUUAUUUCUUAAGCUAACCGUGAAAUGAAACAAAACCAAUUCACUUGGAAUUGGUAUCCUUGAUUGCUUGCAAAUCAUUCCCAGUGAACGAUCCUUAGAGCCACUAUACUAUAGUAGCUUUGUAUUUGCUACCCUAGUGUAUGGUGUUAUAGGUAUAAAUUUUGUUGAUCACUUCCUCAAUCAAGGAACACCAGCUGAACACAAAUCAGCUGAGACACCAAUUGGGCAUGAGUCAAAUGGCGCCGUUGCCGGGGAAUGAGUGUCAAGAUCAUUGUGAUACCAUUUUUGAGCACUUGUGAUUUUCAUCACAAGUUGGUAAAGUUUCUUUCACUUUACUAAUUUUCAUUCUCUCUUUGUUUAUUUACAAUCUAAGUUUAUCUUUUUAAAAUUUAGUCUAGUUUAAUUUUGCUAUUGUAGCCUUGUUUCUCUUGUUGUCCUCUGUUCUUGUUGUCCUCUGUUUUCAUUUUAGUUGCAGCUGAAUACUAGUUGUGUAUGCCAAAGUGGAUACGAGACAUUGGAGGUAGGCUUAUUAAGUGUGAUACACCUCAGAGAGGAGAAUUGGAAGUAAUCUUGAAUAUCAUGGAGGCUGCACCUGAAGAUCAGCAUAGUCACCAAGGUCGUCAAGACAAUCUCAAUGAAUUCAGAUCAAUGAGGGACCGUAUGCAUCCACCUCGUAUGAGUGCACCAUCAUGUAUAGUGCCCCCUACAGAGCAACUAGUGAUCAGACCAUAUCUUGUUCCACUUCUACCAACUUUCCAUGGGAUGGAAAGUGAGAAUCCGUAUGCACACAUCAAGGAAUUUGAAGAUGUUUGUAAUACAUUCCAAGAGGGAGGAGCUUCAAUUGAUUUGAUGAGGCUUAAGUUAUUUCCUUUUAAUUUAAAGGAUAAGGCCAAAAUUUGGCUUAAUUCUUUAAGGCCAAGGAGUAUCCGCUCUUGGACUGAUUUACAAGCUGAAUUCCUCAAGAAAUUUUUUCCUACUCAUAGAACAAAUGGCUUGAAAAGGCAAAUUUCAAACUUCUCAGCUAAAGAGAAUGAGAAAUUCUAUGAGUGUUGGGAAAGAUACAUGGAAGCUAUAAAUGCUUGUCCUCACCAUGGCUUUGAUACUUGGCUACUGGUGAGUUAUUUUUAUGAUGGUAUGUCCUCCUCAAUGAAGCAACUCCUCGAGAAAAUGUGUGGAGAAGAUUUCAUGAGCAAAAAUCCAGAGGAAGCUAUGGAUUUCUUGAGCUAUGUAGCUGAUGUUUCAAGGGGAUGGGAUGAACCAACUAAAGGAGAAGUGGGAAAGAUGAAGUCUCAGUUGAAUGCUUACAAUGCAAAGGCUGGGAUGUAUACUUUAAAAGAGGAUGAUGACAUGAAAGCAAAGUUGGCAGCUAUGACAAGAAGAUUGGAGGAGCUGGAGCUGAAAAGAAUGCAUGAAGUGCAAGCUGUUGCUGAAGCACCAGUGCAAGUGAAGUUGUGUCCCAAUUGUCAAUCGUUUGAACAUUUGGUAGAGGAAUGCCCUGCAAUUUCAGCUGAAAGGGAAAUGUAUAGAGAUCAAGCAAAUGUUGUUGGACAAUUCAGGCCCAAUAACAAUGCUCCUUAUGGAAAUACCUACAAUUCAAGUUGGAGGAAUCAUCCAAAUUUUUCAUGGAAGGCCAGAGCAACUCAAUACCAACAGCCGGAUCCACCAUCUCAACAAUCUUCAAGUAUUGAACAAAUAAUAGCUAAUCUCAGCAAGGUAGUGGGAGAUUUUGUGGGAAAGCAAGAAGCCACCAAUGCUCGAGUGGAUCAAAGAAUGGACAGAGUGGAUCAAAGAAUGGACAGAAUGGAGAGUAUGUUGAACAAAAGAAUGGAUGGAAUGCAAAAUGAUAUGAAUCAAAAAUUUGAUAACAUCCAAUAUUCAAUUUCAAGGCUUACAAAUUUGAAUACACUGCAAGAAAAGGGAAGAUUUCCUUCUCAACCUAACCAAAAUCCCAAAGGUGUCCAUGAAGUGGAAAGCCAUGAGGGAGAAUCAUCACAGGUGAAAGAUGUGAAAGCUUUGAUCACUCUAAGGAGUGGUAAGAAAAUUGAGCAGCCAACACCCAAGCCACAUGUUGAGAAAGAAGAAGAGAUGAAGAAAGGGAAGGAAAUGGAAGAUAAAGGCAGUGAGAUCAGUGAAGAAAAGAAGGACUCUGAUGCAACAAUGAAAGUAAUUCCAGAGAAGGAGCUUCUGAAGGAAGAAAUGCUGAAGAAAUCAACUUUUCCACCUUUUCCUCAAGCAUUACAGGGGAAAAAGGGGGUUAGAAAUGCAGCUGAAAUCCUAGAAGUAUUGAGGCAAGUGAAAGUUAAUAUUCCACUGCUGGAUAUGAUCAAACAAGUUCCAACGUAUGCAAAAUUCCUAAAGGACUUGUGUACUAUCAAAAGAGGGUUGACUGUAAACAAGAAAGCCUUCUUGACUGAGCAAGUAAGUGCAAUCUUACAGUGUAAGUCUCCUUUGAAGUACAAAGACCCUGGAAGUCCUACCAUUUCAGUCAUGAUUGGAGGAAAGGUAGUGGAGAAAGCCUUGCUAGACUUGGGAGCAAGUGUGAAUUUGCUUCCAUAUUCUGUCUACAAGCAACUGGGACUUGGAGAGUUGAAGCCAACAGCAAUCACUUUGUCUCUGGCAGAUAGAUCAGUGAAAAUUCCAAGAGGGGUAAUUGAGGAUGUAUUGGUUCAAGUAGAUAAUUUCUACUAUCCUGUAGAUUUUGUUGUUCUUGAUACAGAUCCUACUGUAAAGGAAGCUAAUUUAGUUCCUAUCAUCCUUGGAAGGCCAUUUCUUGCAACUUCAAAUGCAAUCAUCAACUGUAGAAAUGGGCUUAUGCAACUCACUUUUGGUAACAUGACACUGGAUCUAAAUAUUUUCUAUAUGUCUAAAAAGCAAAUCACUCCAGAAGAAGAAGAGGGUCCAGAAGAGCUAUGUAUUAUUGAUACUUUGGUGGAGGAGCACUGCAAUCAACAUAUGCAAGAUAAGUUGAAUGAAAGUUUUGUGGAUAUUGAGGAAGGUUUUUCUGAAUCUCCUAAUGGGCUUGCUACUCUACAAAGUUGGAGAAAGAUAGAAGGAAUUCUACCUUUGUUCAAUGAAGAAGAGGAGGCAGCUGUUGAAAAAGAAAUUCCAAAACUCAAUCUGAAGCCUUUACCUAUGGAGCUGAAAUAUACAUAUCUUGAAGAAAAUAAUCAAUGUCCUGUCGUAAUAUCUUCAUCUCAAACCAAGUCUCAAGUGAAGGAUGCAAGCUUCAAAUGGGAUCCGGGCAAACUGAAUCAGGAAGGGCAAAAAGUUUUGAUGUAUGACACAAGACUCCAUAUCUUUCCUGGGAAGCUCAAGUCAAGGUGGAUUGGUCCAUUUGUUAUUCACCGAGUAUAUUCCAAUGGAGUGGUGGACUUAUUGAAUUCCAAUGGCAAGGACAGCUUUAGAGUCAAUGGAUAUCGUCUUAAGCCGUUCAUGGAGUCAUUCAAAUCAGAAAAGGAGGCAAUCAACCUCCUUGAACCUCAAAAAGCCUAAGUGAAAUGGGUUUGCUGGACGUGGUUUUACCACAGUCCAAAAAUUUUUGUAAAUUUUGUAAAUUUUCAAGUUGUUUCCAUGCUUUUAAUCUUAGUUUUUGAUUUUAAAUCAUGUUUUUAGGUGUGUUUUAAUCGUUUUAUAUGAUCCCAGGCGGAAGAAAUUUCAAGGGGAUUGAAAAGAAAAAAAUCGGGUCGAAAUUGGAGCCGAAACAGAGCAAAAACAGGGGAAAAACAGAGCUCUGCGAAAUUUCGCAGGGUGAAGGAAACUUCUGCGAAAUUGGCAUUUUGCUGCCAAACCAUUCCGCAGCACUGUAGAAGCCUCUGCGAGUGUAUUUCGCAAUUGCGAAAGUGGAUUUGGCACACGAGUGCCACUUCGCAGCACAGUGACAUCAAUUUCGCAGCUGCGAAACUCACUGCGAAGUUGCUGCGAAAAUGGCAAGUUGCUGCGAAAUUGGCGUUUUGUUGCGAAACGUAAUCUGACCCCUGGGCUUCCGUUUUUCCUAUUUAUACCUGUCAAAAGUGCUGCGAAAAAGGUUUCAAAAAUUAGAGCACCAUUCUCGCAGCCCUUUCAUCUUCUUCGCCAAGCCACGCCGUCCGUUUCUCCGGUCGUCUUCUCCGUUUAGCAGCGCCGGCCAAAGAUCGAUAGCCCAAAAAUGGCACGAACGCGAGGGGCAAAGUCUUCAUCCCCUUCGAACCGCAAAAGGAGUCUGCGAAAGGAGCCAAGUUCAGGCUCUGUUCCAGAACCUGCUCCAAAGCCUUCGCCGUCGAGACCACAACCUUCUCCAGUGAAGCCGGCGCCACCAAAGCCGCCGGCAAGGCGAUAUUUAACCAGGUCAGGUGGUCAGCCAUUGAAGAAGAAAGCCAGAGUUGAGAGCUCUGAACCAAUCGAUUUGACUGAGCAAUCCCCUGAGAAAUCACCAAAUCCUUCACCGGUACAAAUUCCAGUGCCAUCACCGGUUCCCUCGCCAAUUCCCUCACCAGAAGCAACUCCAAUUCCAUCGCCGGUACCAUCUCCGGCACCCCAAGAAAAAGCUCAGGAGCCUCAAGCGCCAAUUCCAGAGCCCCAAAUUGCAGCUGAAGCACCUCUGGAAGAAGUGAUCCGAAGGCCAAUGCUGCCUCAGCCCCCAAUCGAAGGAAACCUGGAUUGCCGAACUCGGGCAUUCCAUUCUGAGCUUUGCUUCGAUUUAACAGCAUUCAGAGUGAGGCCAGAGCUUGCCCAAUCCUUCCAACUGCUGAGGAGAUAUCAUAUGGAGCAUCUGCUAGCUCCAAGGGAUUUUUUCUAUCCCCGGGUAGUCACGGAUUUCUACCAAACCAUGACAACCAAAGAAGUAAGAAAUCCAACUCUGAUUCAUUUCAUAAUUGAUGGAAGGCAUGGUAUUUUGGGAGCAAGACAUAUUGCUGAAGCCCUGCAAAUUCCUUUUGAGCCAACUCAAUUCGACAAUUUUAAAGCUUGGACAAAUCCUACUGAGUUAGAGAUGGUUAGCACACUAACCAGAGGAGCUGCAAAUCGAUCGCAUUUGUUGAGGGGGGAGCUACCUCCAGUUAUGUUUUUGAUUGAUGCCUUUUUGAGGCAUAAUAUCUAUCCCCUGCAGCAUUGGACCCAAAGAAGGGGAAUUCUCCUAGAAGCCUUGUACAAAAUGUCUGAAGGAUUCUUCUUUGGGCCUCAUCAUCUGAUCAUGGCAGCCCUUCUAUACUUUGAGGAGAAGGUUCACAAGAAGAAGCUUCAAAGAGCAGAUUGCAUUCCACUCCUCUUCCCAAGGCUGCUAUGCCAAGUUUUGGAGCAUCUCGGAUACCCCUCUGAGCCUCAGCAGGAAAGAAAGAGAAUAUGCCGUGAGCCUUUUACCCUUGAUAAAUGGAAUAAUAUGACGGCCUACAAAAUUGAUCAGCCUGGGCAGCCUCAGCCAGCAGCAAGGAGAGUCUCCCCAAGACAUAUACCUGAAGGUAUAACACUUGCUACUCCUGCCAUCCCUCGAGCUCCACCAGCUGCACCUGCUCCAUCACAGCCAUCCACAUCAGCUGAGCCGAGGAUGGCCAUCCCUAUAUCCGAAUAUCGAGAGCUGUGCCGUGCAUUGGAGACUCUUACAGCUUCUCAGAGCAAUCUUGCUCAGGAGUUGGCAGCCAUUAAAGCAUGCCAGGAGCAGAUGUUAGCCUCUCAGACUCAACAAGCUGCCAUCCUAAGGCAGCUUCAAGUCCAUUUCGAUCUGCCACAAGCUGUAGAGCCCUCUAUUCCUACUCCACCAGAGCCACACUCUCAGCCUUCAGAGUCUCAUCCUCCAGAACCCGAAGCACCAGCUGAUCCACCUACUGAGGAGGCAGAUCCUUCUGCCUAGCACCAUCACCCCCCUCAUCAGACAUUAUAUAUAUAUUUGCUGUUUAUGUUUUUAUGCAUGUUUGUUUUGUUUUAGUUGAAAAGAAAUCCCAGUAUUUUGGUACUAUAUAUGGGAUUCCUUGUGUUACUUGUCUUUAGUAUUGUAAUCACAUGAACUCAAAGUAAUACAAGUUGACUAUUUCUUGUUAAAAGUUAGCAUUAAAGUUUCCUUAUUUCCUUUUCUCACAUAUUCUAUUCUUUUUGAAACAUGUGGUUUUCCCCAAUCAAUAUUCGAAUUUGAUAUCAGCAUGGAGGUACCACUUCCUCCCUUUUAUUACAGUCACUCAAAUCACAUUGAGGACAAUGCUCAGUUCGGUUGGGGGGUAUGAGGAAGGAAGUAUUCUAAACCUUUUUGGUAUUGCAAUUAUAUUGGUUAAUUAGUUGUAGAUUUUACUUUUUACUAGUGUUACUCUAUUCUCCAUGAAUUUUGAGGAAAAAUUUUCAAAUUAAACCAAGAGAAAUUGAACUGUUGUUUUUCACUUGACUUAGAGUAUGGAUUAUGCUUACUAAAGUGGUUCAAUUGUUGAAACUUCUACUGAAAUUGAAUUGAGUUCUUCCACUUUAAGCUAUCCACACACUGUGCACAUUAGUUUCCGAUUAUAAGAUGAAAAGCUAUUUCCCUCUUGACUUAGUAUAUUUUUGGGACUUGGUAUAUUUGACCUCAUUUGAUAAAAAUUGAAACACCCUGCAAAAGGCCAAUGAGCCUUUGAAAUAAAGAAAGUUGUUUGCUUGCCUUGAAACCCGAGCAAGGUCUGAGGGGUAUAUGGUGAAAAUCUUUAAAGCCUGGUGCCCUAAGCCUUAAUUGGUUGGGAGUCACCGACCUCAAUGCUCGUUACAAGGGUGAAUAGGUAGAGUUAGCAUAUGGUAGAUGCUUGGGUAUUAGAAAUUCAUUCUUAAAAGUCCGGGGAAAAAUCCGAGGAGUUAGUGGUUGAAAGAUCCUUAAAACUUGGUGCCCUAAACCUUAAUUGGUUGGGAGUCAUCGAUGGACCCCCAUUACAUGGACAAGUCAGAAAGAGUACCCCAUAAAGCUACCUUAAAAAAAAAAAAAAAAAAAAAAAAAAAAAAAAAGAUGAAAGUGUGUUCUUUUCUUAUUGAUUUUGGUCAGUUUGCUAAAGUGUUGAAAAGAGAUAGGUUGGGGGGUGAGAUUAGUAGCAUAUUAUUCUCGGAACCUAAGGAACCAAUACACAUAGAUUUUUGUGGAAGAUUGAAGUUUAGUUCUUAGAAAAUGAAAUGAUUUUAAAACUUCAGUUUGCAUAAUGCACUCCCUUGAUUGACAGUGUUUAGCAUAGGUGUUAUGACUCUUGUUGAGAUUUGGGUUUGUAUUUCUUUAAUGAUUCAUGUGAGAAAUAGAUCAUCAUGCCACUUGAGAAUUAUUUUCCUUUUAGCAUGAUGUUGUAAAUUUUAGAUUAGUUUGCUAUUUAUUUUUUAUUUUCUCUCCUAUAUUGCUAAGGGACUAGCAAUAUGUCGGUUGGGGGGAGUGAUUACUACUCAAAAAGUGCUAUUUGAUAGCCUUUAAUUAAUCCUUUUUAACACUUUUGAGUAGUAGUUUAGGCCUUUUAACUCAAUUGGCAUGUUAAGGAUCCUUUAAAGCAAUUUUGAUCACUUUGUGCAAGUUUUGGUGUUUUUGUUAGUAUUUUGAUCACCAAAGCAAGUCAAGAAUGAGGAGAACUAUGAGGAAUCAUGGGCAAAGCUUAGAAUUCAAUUGCCAAGAGUGAAUCCGGAUUGCAAGGAGAAAAAGCAAAGAGAAUCUGUCAUGAAGCCUAUUCUUGAUGACAGUCGUAGCAGCCACUUUUGGAGCACUUUCUGAAGUCCAAAUGAUGCAAGCUAUAUACCAUUUCAAAGCUCAGGAAGUCAACAAUCCAAUGCUUCAAACGGUGCGCGAUUCGGAGUUGAAACGAAGAAGUUGCAGCCAUUACAAGCCAGUCACUCUAAAGUGUUGCGGAAUCAGCCUUUUGUUGCGAGAAUUUCGCAGCACUUUUGUACAGUAAGGUGUUUCUCCUUCUGACGAUGCACGAACCAUGCCGCGAGAGGGAAGCUAGGAACUUCAAGAUGGAAGCCAACUUUGCAGCCUGGUGAAGAUAGCUUGGUCUUGCGAAAUAAUUUCGCAGCCCUCUUGGGUGUCUGCGAAAUUUCGCAGGCACCACUUUUUUCCUGCGAAAUGGCUCCGGAAGCCUCCCGAAGCUUGCUACCGACAUUGGGAGAUAUUUUCCAUUAGAUUUUUGUUGUCUAAAUUCCAAAAUACUCCUUGUAAACCACCAAUUACAUGAUUCCUUAGUUUUUAAGUUAGUAAAAAGACCAAAUAUCUAUGUAAUAAUUAGUUUUAUAUUAGUUUGCUAUAAAUACCUCUCGGGAGCAUGUUCUCAGAGAGGAGUUCCUUCUGUAACCAUUUUGGUAAGCAAGUAAAGUCUUUUCUUUCUACUGCCUUACCUUCUCACUUUGUAUUUUCAUUUUAUUUCUAAGUUAUGAAUUCUCUGAGGAGCUUUCCCCAGAGAAUGAGUAACUAAACCUCCAAUUCCUUGGAGCUAAGGUUGCCGGGGAAGGUUCCAAGUGCAAGAAUGCAAAGCUCUGUGGUUUUAGCUAGUAAUGAAGAGGAAGUGAAAUCCUUUAGUGAUUUCAAUGUUUUUAGUUAACUUAAAACACCUUGGAGUCACCUGGGCCAACACUUGGUAAGGCAAGUGAUUUCCAACCGUGGAAAUGCACUAGUUUACCCCUUGCGAGCCUCUGGUAGGUGACUUCAAGGUAGGAUUUUCUGGAAUUACCAACACUUGGUAAGCUUUUGGACUCCUAGGAGACAUCCAUUAGUUAUCUCUUGCGAGUUUGUGAAGGGGAAUCCAAGGUUAAAGAUCACCUUGAAUGGUAAGUGCUCGUGAGAGGCAUGAACCAUUGCAAGUUGUAUCAGUGAGAGAAUUAAAGUGAAAUCUAAUUGAAGGAGUCUCUGUACAUCACCGGUUAGAGAAUUGACUAUAAGUUGAAUCUCUAAUGCGAGGAAAUGAACCAUCUGACCGGAGCUAUGUCUUUUGCAUGAGGAACCACCCCAGUGAACCUAAAUCUCCAAGGAAUGCUUUUCUUCCUAAAUUAUUCCAAACUUCUGUUAAGUUAGUUAGUUUAAGUCUAAACCUUUACCAAUCAAACUUUGUGUUUUAUUCCUUAAGCUAACCGUGAAAUGAAACAAAACCAAUUCACUUGGAAUUGGUAUCCUUGAUUGCUUGCAAAUCAUUCCCAGUGAACGAUCCUUAGAGCCACUAUACUAUAGUAGCUUUGUAUUUGCUACCCUAGUGUAUGGUGUUAUAGGUAUAAAUUUUGUUGAUCACUUCCUCAAUCAAGGAACACCAGCUGAACACAAAUCAGCUGAGACACCAAUUGGGCAUGAGUCAGUGCGUUAGAGGAUCAAGAAGAAGAAAAAGAAGGAACUGUUGGAAUUAGUAUGAGUGUGAAGAGAAAAGUAUAUAAAUAAGGGGAAGUAAAAGCAAAGUUCAAAAAGCUAUAUUUUUUUAUUGUUGGUGUAUGGUUGCAUGAUUAUCCCUAUAAAUAAUAGGAGUUUUUUGGUAUUCUACUAGUAGUUGAAGCAUAAUUUCAUAAAUUAAUAUUUAGAGCGGGGUGGGGUGAGUUGUGACAAAAUUCAUACCCGUCCCAAACCUUGGUUCAGAUUUUUAAAAUAUUCUCAAACUUAUCAUAUACCCAACUUUUAUAUUUCAUACUUGUCCUAAUAGAGGCACGUUAGGCCGGGUUACUUGAGUAACCUACAUAAUUGUCAUCCCUAGUUGAAAUACACUUUUUGGCAGUGGCCACCAACUGAGCUAGAAGCUUGAUUGAUUGACCUACAAGAUUAGUUCUCAUCAUUUUAAAAAAAGUUCUGGCUUUGGUUGUGAGUGCAAUUGAAUCUAAACUGGCAUUUGCUUAAUGCAUCUACUUCAAUCCUAAACUUCUUACUUCUUAAGCCUCAAUUGUUGUUAGGAUUUUGGAAAACCCAUUUCCUUAAAUUGUAAAUUUAAGAUAAAAUAAAAUAAAAGUGAGACAUUUCUUGAUUGAAUAUUGUUAAAGGUCCCUUGGCAUUAAGACUUGGUUGAAGCCUUGGAAGAUUAGUGGAACUCUCAACAUGUGUUUGAAUCUUGAGGAGAGUGGAUGUAAGCCAAAAUUUUGUCAAACCAUUAUACAAAUUGAGUUUGAAUCCUCAUUUCUUGAUUUCUUAUUUAUUUGCUUUUUCUUAUUAUUACUUGAAUUGUCAUUUGCAUUCAUUAAUGUUAAAAUUGGUUAUAAUUAACCAACACUAAUUCUCUUUCCCCUUCCCUUUCUUGGGUGUAAACCUAGGUUGGAUUAACUAGAUAAAUCUAUUAAGAUGGUAAAAGAAUAAUUAUUCUUAACAUACAUAAGAUCAUCUUCAAUCAAAUGACUCAUUGGCUAAUAUGUUGAAUUUGCUUAUUACUUGCAACUCAAAAUUGUGUUCUAGUUGUGUCAAGUCCCCAGUGUAUGGACAUUAAAUUUGUAGUACGUGAUGAGUAAUUAGAUGGUCCAACUCCAAGAAAGUGAUUGAAAAGUAGUUCAAGAAAGGUGCAAAAGGGAAUUGUUUUGGUAUUUUCGUUUUUAUUCUUGAAGGUGGCAGAGCUAAAAUUUGAGAAAUCAAGCAAAACAUACUGAAAUUACAUUGAAAGAAAGAAGAUGGGAGUUAAUGUCUUGCAGUACAUGAUAAGGACUUCAUGCAUGUAGUGUGACCCAUGUCUUGGACUGAUGCCAACUCACGGUUACACUUAUACCCUUGGUUCUCUCUUUACUACCUUGGCUAACCUAGAUCAGGCUAUGAGAUAGGCUCCUCACCACACCAUUACUUGCCCAUUAAUUAGAGACAUUUUCAAGCAAUGAGGUAACAUGGUGACACCAAGAGGGUCUAUUCCUCGCCCGGAACAAGUCUAGACUUGGUCUCAAAAAAAUGGAGAAAAAUGAGGUGUCGUUAUGUAGAAAUACAACAACCAUGCCUUCCUCAUUACUUAGAUUCAGAAUGUGAAGGUGAAAUUGAGAAACAGAAACUCUUGAAACCAAAAUGAAAAUUGAUACUUUUACGAAGAAUUACAACAACAUUAGAGGAAGACUACAUUCUUCCUCUUUAUUCCUACAUUUCUACACUACUUCUACUCCACUCCAUAUUUCUACAUACAUCUUUAAUCAGUCUUCCCUCCUUUAUAUAGAGCCAUCUUCACACAAAUUUCGCAAGGUAGAAAAGAGGAAUGAAACUUGGAGCAAGGUUCGACUACUGGUUGUAGCUUGUCAAGGCUGGAAGUGAACUUUUCUUGGCUUUCUGGGCAUGGGUAGUAACUUGUGGGUUCCUGUUUGGCAUAAAAAUGGCUAGAACAUGUGGCACUAUCUUGUUGGAUGAUGUGUCAAGCAUGUGGCAGCCAUCUAGUGGCGAUUAUGUCAAUUUUGGGAUGGAGAGUUGGCAUCCAAUUGCAAAGAAAUAUGACGUCUACCAACAUGCAAUGUAAACCUAUGUAGAUCAUAUGAAGAUAGAGAGGAAAAAUAUAGAAAUGGAUAUAUACCUAGAACUAGCUUUUUAUUAAAUGAAACGGAGAGACAACAAUGAAGGAAAAUAAAAUUUUUUGGCUUAUAUCAAAGAGUUCACAUUGUGUUACCCUAGGUUUUCUUAAAACUUACUUUUAUGAUAACAAAAAAGAAAAAACCAUUAUUGUUUAAUCCUUUGUUUUAAACGCAUGUAAGGUGUAAUUAAGUUAGUUCAAUGCAUUAAUUUAAGAAACUUGACCUAUCAAAAGUACAAAAUUAGAUGAAAUCCAUUUCAAUGGUUAAAAUGAUCAAAAUCAAACUUUUUCUAAGUAUUUUUUAAAAGCAUCAAUAGUGAAAGACAAUUUUAUAUUUAGUCGGAGUUUGGACAAAACUGAAAAACACACAAAAUCCAAGCGACCAUCUCUAGCUUGGAUGGUCGCUUGAUCCCACCUAGAGAUGUGCAUGAGUAAAAGGAUUUGAAAAUGGAAAUUGACUAUGUAGUCGAUCAAUUAACUUUGCAACAUCAUAUGCAAUCCUAAUUGCUAGUCAUCUAAUCAAUUAGGUAGUCAAUCAACAGGCCAAAAAUAUGUUUAUAAUGACUAUUUUGUACAAAAACCACCUGUAUAGUUAAAUAUAAUGCAUUUCAUUUAUAAAUCUUCUAAUUCUUGAAUAACGAUCCUAUCAUCCUUUGAAAGUUUUUAUUACACUUUUUUUACUUUUGUUCUAAAACUUACACAUCACCCUUAAUUGUACCAUGAGAACCUAGCUAUUUUUUAUUUUUUUUUUUGUAAUUCAUCAAAGUUAGCUUUUGUAUUCAUUGUUGUAUUAUUUUUAGUAUAACUUAGAAAGCUAGUGUUUUCAAGUGAGUAAAAUUAACUUGUAAAUAUUGUAAAGAUUCAUCGACAUGUAUCUUAAACUAAGUGUACAAGUUAAAACAUUUGCUAGUAGAUUUUCUCAAAAUUUAGAAUAGAGCUUGAGACUAUUGAAAUAGGUGGGGUUGCACCAAACCACAUCACAUCGUUGUUUGCACCUUUUUUCACUCUCUUUUACUUAGUUGCUCUAUAUUUGUUGUCUAGUAAUAUCCUAUAGGCUUGAUGGGUUAGGGAGCAUCCCUUUGUGAAAAAAUUUUAUUCAAUCCUUAGUUGUAUCACGCAUAUAUAAAAUGCCUCAUUGUUUUAAUGGUAUUCAGUCGUGGCAUCACAGAUAUGGGCAUCUAAAUUUUAAAAGUUUGAAACUUUUAUCUAAAGAAAAUAUGGUGCUUUGCCUUUUUGUAAAGCAUGUUGAUGAAAUCCAUGAGAAUUGUGUACUUGGGAAGCAACACCGAGAUGACUUUUUUUUUUUUUUUAUAAUAUUGUUUGUCCAAAUUCCCUACAAAUUAGGCCACCAGAUGUUCAUAAUUCUCCCUUCUUGAAUUUGAAAACUCGGACAAUUGGACAAUGCGACACCUAAGUCCGGUUUCUAAAUGCUAAAGUGAAAGGGUAGGUAUGGACCAUUGAAAUGUGAUCACAACUUUUCUCUGUAGCCAUGUUGUCUCUUUUUUCUUUUGCAUGAUUUUCUUACCUUAACAGAAUCAUAGACUUGUUUAGUCUCUAAAUGGGAUUAAUUUCAUCCAGCUUUAAGCUACUAUAUUAUAUCUAGGUGGAGGACUUUUAAGAGUGCAACCGACAUAGAGCACAUGGAAGUGGGUAUAUGGGACAUGAAAUUUCUUCUUAUAAAGAUUGCAUGAUUUUUAUAUUAGAGUUGUUGAGGCGCUAUGUAUUUAGCUUGUUUUGCAGUUAAAUUAAUUGGAUAAGUAGACAUUGGCGUUUCUAAAUCUACUGUGAAGUGCUUCAUGUACGUGUGAAGUAUUAGAAAUUUCUUUCUUGGCAACUUGUUUUUCUUUGCGGUCUACUGAUAGGUUUGACUAAAAUUAUAUUCCCUGUCAUGCUAAUUAAUUUUCACGUGCAUGCUCAAAAGAAAAGUAUGACCUUAGUGCACCAAAAUCACUUUGAUUAAUUUGUGAUAGGUUUUUGUGCAUCAUGACAUUAGCCUUAUUCAUUUAGAUAAUGUUUAGUUUUUAGAAAGUAUUAAGAAAAGGAAAAUAAAUAUUAAGAAAAAUAUUCUUAUAUUUGAUUGUAUUAUGAAAAAUAUCAUAAAAAAAUCAAAUAUAAUUUAAAUUAAUUAAUAAUUUAUACAUUUUCAAAUUAUUUAAUCUUUAUAUUGAAGAUAUAAUAUAAAUGAAAUGAGUUUUAAGUAUUAUAUAAAAGUGAUUUAUUGAUCUUACAUAUAUAUAUUUCUUUUUUUUUUCCUUCUAUUUUUUCUCUUUAUUUUAUUUUCCUUAUGUUUUCCUCAACAUUUUCCGGAACCAAACAUAGCCUUAGGAAAUCCACAAUUACCUUCAACUGAGUAGAUUCUGUUGUUUUAGCAAUGUUAGGCUGCUAACUUGUGUUGGUACGAACCUAUUAAGCCUAAAGAUGUAAUUAGUUAGGAUAUUCUUUUCCCUCUAGUCUUGUAGCUCCACGUGUACAGUUGGUUAGGACCUCAUUGUAUAUAAUGCUUGCCCUGUUAUUGUAGAAGACAACAAAGAUAAAUAAUAUUAACAUUUUUCCUCUCAUCUCUCUCUGUUUCCCUCUGUUUUCAUCUCCUCUCUCAUCUUGGUAUCAGAGCCUCCAUGGCUUCUUUCAAAGAAACCUCCGAAUCACCUUCUGCUAGCAUUGUUAAUGUGCAAAACCCAUUAUCUCAAUCAAACAACCUUCCUUCACCAGUAGCCACACCCUCUUUUUCUUUCUCGUCUAUGAAUCAACCUCUCACAGUGAAGCUGGAUAAUGGGAACUACCUCAUAUGGAAGAAUUAGCUUCUAAAUGUCAUCAUUGCUAACGGACUCGAUGAUUUCAUUGACGGAUCUCGACCCUGCCCUCCUCGAUUUCUCGAUCUGCAACAACAAACCCUCAAUCCAGAGUACUCAGCUUGGCAGAGAUACAAUCGACUUCUGAUGAGUUGGCUGUACGCAUCCUUGUCCAAAGAUAUAAUGGCUCAGAUUGUUGGGUAUUCAACAGCUAUGGAGAUUUGGAAUGCCCUUAAUCAGAUUUACUCUGCCUCUUCUAUGGCGCGGUUUACUGAGCUUCGCACCAAGCUUCAAACGCUCAAGAAAGAUGGACUCUCAGUUGGUGAAUAUAUUCAAAGGCUCAAAUCCAUUUGCAAUAGUCUUGCAGCAAUAGGAGAACCAGUUUCUGAGAAAGACCAUCUUAUCUAUUUGUUCAAUGGAUUAGAUUGUGAGUAUUAUUCUUUUGUUACCUCCAUUCAAAAUCGAUCUGACCAACCAACUAUUGACAAAAUCCAUAGCCUAUUGCUUAGCUAUGACUUCCGGCUUGAACAACAAAACUCUGUUUCUCUCCAUUCUGCCCAAGUCCAUAUGGCUCAUCUGAACAAGAAACCUUAUAAAUCAACUCCUCAACCUACAUUCAAUCAUAUUCACAUUCAACCUAGAUACUCUUCUCCACCUUUUAAGCCAACCACUAGUCAAUAUCAACCCAACAUUUUGGGCAAACCACAACCACAACCAUGACAGCCUCAACCUCAAUGGAAACCACAUUUUUCAAUCUAAAAUCAAAAGCCUCAGCGCCAAAUUUGUGGUAAAUUUGGACACACUGCUCUUAUUUGCUUCCAUCACACAAAUUUGAACUAUUCACCCCAACCUUCUCCUAAAUCUUUCAAUACUGUUCUCACCACAAAUUCCCAGCUCCCUAAUCCUCCAAAAUUUUCUUACCCUACAAUGGCUCAUCCUGCUGCUACGCAUAACACGGUUCCCGAUACAAAUUGGUACAUGGACUCAGGUGCUACACAUCACUUUACUCUGGACAUCAACGUGCUUGACACUGUGACACCAUUUAGUGGUUCAGAACAGGUGACAGUUGGGAAUGGUAAGCAACUCUGUAUCUCACAUCUUGGUACUGCAAAACUACCAUCUUCGUAUUCUCCUCCUGUUCUACAUCAGGUAUAUCACACUCCAAAAAUUUCAAAUAAUCUUAUUAGUGUUAAAAAAUUGUGUUCUGAUAAUAAAGUUUUUGUUGAAUUUUAUGCCACUCAUUUUCUUGUCAAGGAUCAGGUUUCGAAGAGAGUUCUCCUUUAGGGUCAACUUGAUAAUGGCUUAUACAAAGUUCAGUCGUCAUGCUCUCCUUCUGCUGUUUCCUUUCCUCCUCAAGUUUUCAUAGCCAACAUCAAGUAUCCAAAUCUGUGGCACAAGAGACUAGGCCACCCAGCUUUAUCUGUUGUUAAUCAAAUCUUGGAUUCUUGUAACAUUGCUCGAACACAGAAAAUUUGUUUUAAUUUUUUAAAUUCUUGUCAAUUAGCAAAGAGCCACAGGCUUCCUUUUUCUCUGUCUCCAUCCAUUGCAGAAAAACCUUUUGAGUUAAUUCAUACAGACCUAUGGGGUCUUUCGCUCGUUCGCUCUAUUUCUGGUGCUCUUUAUUUUUUACUUUUCAUUGAUGAUCAUACUCGUUUUACUUGGUUUUAUUUGCUCAAAACAAAAGAUGAAGCAUAUCCUACUUUUCUCAAGUUUCAAGCUCUCAUUGAAAAUCAAUUUAAUACCAAGAUUAAGGCUGUCCAAUCUGAUUGGGGAGGUGAGUUUCGAUCUCUCUCCAUACCGUUUUCAAAUAUGGGCAUUGUCUAUUGUUUAUCGUGUCCAUACACCUCACAACAGAAUGGGCGAGUUGAGCGAAAAAAUCGCCAUGCGAUUGUCCUUUCUUGCUUGCUCUAUGCCCUUAUCUUAUUGGCCUUAUGCCUUUCAAACUGCCACUUACCUUAUUAAUCGUCUCUCUACCCCUGUGCUGCAUCAUCAAUCCUCUUACUUCGCACUCUAUCACAAACUCCCAACUUAUACUCAUCUUAAGGUCUUUGGUUCCUCUUGUUUUCCGUAUUUGCACCCUUAUAAUACCCAUAAACUCCAAUACAGGUCACUAGAGUGUGCUUUUCUUGGUUACAGUUCACACCACAAAGGUUAUCUAUGUCUUGACAUUCAUUCUAGCAGGGUGUAUAUUUCUCGCCAUGUGAUUUUUAAUGAAGAUUCUUUUCCAUUCAAGAAUUUGAAAUCUUCUCUCUCUCAGUCUAUUUCUUCUUCCUCUUCUUUAUAAGUUCCUCUGUUCAUUCUCUUGCCUCCCCUUUCCCCAUCUCCUCUUAUUUCUUCAUCUAUACCUCAUUCUUUUCCCUCUUCUUCUUCUACCUCUAGUACUUGUUCCCCUCUCGUUGCUCCUACCUCUCUUCCUUCCUCUUCACACUCUGUGUCUCCAUCUAUUCCACCUCCUUCUCCACCUUCUCCGAGUGUGGACCUGCUUGCACCUUGUGUGAAUACAAAUUUACAUACUUCUUCUCGCACUCACAAUAUUCAUCCUAUGGUGACUAGAUCUAAGGUUUGUAUCUAUAAACCUAAGUUGUUGUUGAGUGUCUCCAUAGGUUCUCUCACUAAGCCUACUUCCUUUCUUCAAGCUAUUAAAGAUCCUUCAUGGAAGCAAUCCAUGGAAUUCGAGUUUGCUACCCUUCAACACAACAAGACCUGGCAUUUGGUUCCUUCACCUUCCUCAGGCGAAGUAAUCGGUUGUAAAUGGGUCUAUAAGCUAAAGCUUCAGCCUGAUGGCUAAAUUGAGAGAUACAGCCUGCUUAGUAGCUAAGGGUAUCAUCAAAUUGAAGUAUGGACUACUUCGAAACAUUCAGCCUGAUNNNNNNNNNNNNNNNNNNNNNNNNNNNNNNNNNNNNNNNNNNNNNNNNNNNNNNNNNNNNNNNNNNNNNNNNNNNNNNNNNNNNNNNNNNNNNNNNNNNNAGCUUCAGCCUGAUGGCUAAAUUGAGAGAUACAAGGCCUGCUUAGUAGCUAAGGGUUAUCAUCAAAUUGAAGGUAUUGACUACUUCGAAACAUUCAGCCUGAUUGUCAAGCUUUCUACUAUCUGUAUUGUGCUCAGUCUUACUUUUUCCCAGAAUUGGUGUAUUAGACAGCUGGAUGUUCAUAAUGCCUUCUUACAUGGUGACUUAGCUAAAGACGUUUUCAUGGAACAACUGCCUGGAUUUGUUGAUCCUCUCUAUCCUACUCAUGUCUGCAAGUUGGAUAAGUCUCUCUACUGUCUUAAAUAGUCACCUCGGGCUUGGUAUACUAAGCUGAGUACUUCUCGCUACACUUGGGAUUUGUUACUUCUAAGAAUGACUCUUCCUUAUUUAUUUGUCAUUCGUCUCAUGGGUUACUUCUUGUUCUUGUCUAUGUGGAUGAUAUAAUCGUCAUUGGGAGCCACUCUCCUCAGGUUACUCACCUUAUCCAACAGUUGCAUCAUUAGCUUUCUUUAAAGGAUCUUGGUCCUUUACAUUAUUUUCUGGGCUUGGAGGUUCAUCACACCCCUACUGGUAUUCACCUCAGCCAAGCAAAGUAUAUCACUGAUCUCCUUACCCGGGCGGCUAUGUUGGAUGCCAAGCCAUGUCCCACUCCUAUGUCCUCCAACACAUAUCUCUCUUUUCAUGAUGGAGUGGCUCUUGAAAAUGGUUCAGAUUAUCGAAGUUUUGUUGGUGCCCUUUAGUAUUGUACCAUGACACGCCCAGAUAUAGCUUUUGCAAUAAAUAAAGUGUGUCAAUUCAUGCACCAUCCCUCUAAUGUUCACUGGCAGGCUAUAAAACGUAUUCUCCGGUACUUAAAGGGCACAUCUCAUUUUGGUCUCUUCCUACAGCCUUCCUAUGACUUCAACAUCACUUGCUAUACAAAUGCCGACUGGGCUUCCUGUCCUGAUGACAAGUGUAGCACCAGUGGCUACUGCCUCUUUCUUGCCUCUAAUCUGGUUUCUUGGUCAUCUUCCAAACAAAAAGUGGUCUCCCGCUCCAGCGCCGAAUCAGAGUACCGAGGGGUAGCAAAUGGGGCUGCUGAAAUUGCUUGGACUGAAUCUCUUCUUUGUGAACUUUCCAUUACUCCCCCUCCCCUCAUUCUCUGUGACAAUAUCAGUGCCACGUACUUAGCUGCCAAUCCUAUUUUGCAUGCCCGCACCAAACAUGUGGAAAUCGACUAUCACUUUGUCACGGAACGUGUUCUUCAAUGCUCUCUUUUUGUCCAGUUUACACCUUCUGAUGAUCAACUUGCUGAUUGCAUGACCAAGCCUCUCUCCACCCAACGUUUCAUCACUCUACGCUCCAAGCUCACUGUUCUCACUAGACCAAUGAGCUUGAGGGGGGAUGUUAAGCCUAAAGAUGUAAUUAGUUAGGAUAUUCUUUUCCCUCUAGUCUUGUAGCUCCACGUGUACAGUUGGUUAGGACCUCAUUGUAUAUAAUGCCUGCCCUGUUAUUGUAGAAGACAACAGAGAUAAAUAAUAUUAACAUUUUUCCUCUCAUCUCUCUCUCUGUUUCCCUCUGUUUUCAUCUCCUCUCUCAUCUGAACCAAAUGAUCCAUGUUAACCUUGGCUUGGUUUGAUUUGGCUCUAUCUUAGAGAGCUCAAGGAUCACGUCAACUCUGGUUUCUACUAUUCAGGUCCAUUCCCAUAUGAACUGGUUCAAAUUUGAGAAAAUGGUAACAGACCUUUAGUGAUGUUGGUUUGGAGCCAGUUGCCAAACCCGCCCUGAGCUUUACCACUAAUGUCAAGGGAGAAAGCCAUUUGAACAAAAACAAUAGCUUCAAGGGACUGAAUCGUGGAUGAAAUCUGAUCCACAUUUCUUCUCAUUUUGGAAACAAAUGAGAACUUAACUAAGAAGAUUCUACGGCCUCAUAGUGCUUUUCCUGAUCUAAGGUUGGUUCGUUUCCCAAACUGUGAGAUGCACGUGCCAGACUUCAGAACUCUCACGCUCAGGAGUGUAUCCACGUGGUGGACAUAAGAUGGUGGCUUAAGAUCUGGUGUCGGUGGCUUUACUUUACUAGGAGAGUAGUGUGUCUUCAUCUCAUUCACUGCCGGAGGGUGGCGUAAGCAGUGACGCUAAGGUGGGGCACAGUCAAUAUCAUUUGCAUUUGACCAUUAUAGUUUUCUCCCGGCUUUAAAGUAACCUUAUCGUGAUAAAGGAUUACUAGCACUAGUUCAGAUGAUAGUCAUGUUAAAUUCGGACCAUGUUUGUGUCACAUUAUCAGCAACCAUGUGUUUAUGGUUCAUGCUUUCUGCAACUAAAAUUGAUAUAUAACCAGGUGAACUUCAAUCUAAAUUCUGAAAGUACUCAUGUGAUAGAUGGUGCCCGUCUGCAGAGUCCAUCAAUUGAAAAAUGGAGUGAGUGUAUCUAUAAGAGGGAAGGCUUGGAAAAUGUUCAGUUUUCUGGGAAUUCAACAAGGAUCUAAAAUAGAUUGUUUUCUUUGCUGAUUUCAAUGGUUGAAAUUUGAGAAGAUUGUGUCCACAUAACACAACUAUUACUGGUCCUUCUGUUGCAAUUUAUCCUCUAAAGCUCUAGCAUGUCUUCCAAUUCCCACUUCCCUGUUACUCCAGGAAAGCUAUUUCUGUCAUUGUGAAGAAGAAAAGAGAAUGUACAUAUCGAUGCUUUUAAGUGACUGGAGCAUUUAUAUCAGGUGGUCUGCAGCCAUAUAUGCCACUUUGUGAAGAUUGGAACAGUCAAUCACUAGGCUAUAUAUUAGUGUGGCCCAGCCACUUUAAUCAAGGACAAGUCUUCAUACUUAAAGUCAAAUUCUGCCUUUAGUCUCAUUAUAAAUUUCUGUUUAAAUAUUAAGCAAACAUUUGUUUAAUGCGAUUAAGACAGUACUAACUCAAUACCUGUUCUAUUUUUGGAUGCAAAUGCUUGAUGGUUUCAUCAUUGGAUGGGAUAAAGGUGCAUUCAUGAUUAGGAAUACUAGUAGUUAUAUUUUAAUUCUCUUUUUUCUCAAUGAGACUUGUUGGCACAAUUUUGCUGUUGAGAAACCUACCUCUCCAUGGAAAAUAAGUUGUGAUUGAUAGUACUGGAUAUAUUCAAGAAAUCUAAAUAUAGAUAGCACAAAAUAUUAUCGACAUAAAUAGCAUUAACAGCGUACGUAUGUCUCAGUGCUCAUCAGCUAUAAGCAUGGGGCAAACACUUACUAUGAGCAACUUACGUCAAAAUUCCAGAAUAGGACAUAGAAGUGACAGAUAUAGAACAUUGCAUAUGAGUCACAAGAAAGGAAAUUACGGGUGCAUAGCAGCUCUUAUUUUACAUACUACUACUCAUACUGAUCAAAGUCACUCAGUUGGGAUGGGUGGGAGUAGGAGGUUUGUGGGGUGGCUUGUGCGGAGGAGUUGGCAGCUUCUUUCCAGGACCUGGUUGCUUCUCUGCUGGAGUUGAAGGAGGCUUAAUCUUCCGAGGUGGCUUGUAUGAGUCUUCAGCAUUCUCAGCUGGAGGGUGACCAGGGUUGUGACCAUAAUGUGGUGGCUUCUCUCCCUUAGGUGGUUUGCCAACUGGGGUUGGUGGCUUGUAUGAGUCUUCAGCAUUCUCAGCAGGAGGGUGACCAGGGUUGUGACCAUAAUGUGGUGGCUUCUCUCCCUUAGGUGGUUUGCCAACUGGGGUUGGUGGCUUGUGUUCUGGGAGUGGCUUCUCCCCCUUGGGAGGUUUUUCCAAUGGGGUUGGUUUGUGUUCAGGAGGUGGCUUCUCCACUGGAGGCUUGUGUUCAGGAGGUGGCUUCUCCACCGGAGGCUUGUGUUCAGGUGGUGGCUUCUCCACCGGAGGCUUAUGCUCUGGUGGUGGCUUCUCGAAUGGGGGAUGCUUAGGAUAAUCAGCAAGUGAGGGGGCGGUGAGAACCACCAGGCCAAGCAACACCACUAGCAAAUAUGUAGGAGACAUCUUUGGGUUUGGGCUCAGAUGGUGCAAAACUAGGAGAAUUGGCUAGCCUUUUAUAGCGGAUCGUACCCAAUAAUGAAAUGACACGUGUCAUUAUGACCCAUGUGUAAUGGGGUCGAUUUGGGUCCUACAGUGUUGAAAACUUCGACAUCCACUUUUGGCCUUUUGCUUUCUCUACAGCCGCCUUGCUUUUUCCCUCUUUCCUUUUGUUUUCCUCCUGCCCCAUUCUAUCAACUAAACACAAUUAUGUAGUUGUUUAAUUCUUAAAUGAGAUAUUAUCCGUCAAUCGUAUUAUAUUUUAUCAAGAGAGAACGGAGUGCAAUGUGGCUGUAAUUUUAUCGUUUAGUUUUAUCUCUUGGACCACUGCAUUUUUGUUAAGAGGUGCAAUAAUACACGUCUUUAUCUGCCAUUCAAUAUUUACAGUAAAGAGAGGGCACAAAACUCUUCACUUCGCACCAUAAUUAUUUUGUUUUCUGGACACCCCGGGGCCCUUUGGUUGGUUUGGGGGUCAGAAAGUGAACAUCAUAGGGGGUUUUUCCCUUAUGUGCAUUUGUAUCUGAUGGCUUUAACUCGCCUUGUUACUACAAAGAAACUGUCACAGAUAGGAACUUAUUCCAGGCUGAGUAUCUCCUCAUAGACCCUAUAAAAGAAGACAAGUCAUAAUGAACAUCUAACCUUUGUUCAAUUUGAUUCAAUGCCCCCAUUGUGUCCAUCUCACAAAUCUGAAUUAUUAUAUCCAUUGAAUACAUAAAUUAAUGAAGAAAAUAUGAAACCCAAGAUACAUCUCUGCACAACCUCAACCCUGGUUGCUAUGUUUCCCUUCUAUUCACAUGAUUUGAUGCUAAUUGCCAAACUUGCAACAAGCCCUGAGUUUGACACCUAGUAUCGAUGGGCGAAUUUAAAGUCUCCUCCAAACAUAUAUUCCACAGCUUGAAGCUCACAGAAGAUGUUACAGGCAGGGAAAAACCUUCAGAGUUCGCUACCAAAGAUAAUUAUUAAGGAGAUAUCACAAAGAGAAUUCCAAGGGGUCUGAAUCAAAGACAAAUUGGUCGUUCGUGGGGGUUCUUACUUUCUUUUGGGUAUAACUCACUGAGGGCACUGUCUUUGUUAUUUGCAUUUCACAUUUAGAGUUCUGUUCUGGAAACAUAUAAAAGGAGCAUCAUUUUGUUCUUGGGUAACCCAUAGUCGUGAGUGGGUCCAUUUGCAUGCUACUUAGUUGAAAAGUUGGACCAUUUGCUCCGACGCCUACCUCCCGGAUUCCAUGCUCGGAUAAAACAAGAAUAAAAAAAAUAUUUAUAAUUUACAAAUGGGGGAAAGAAAAAAAUGUCAACAACAAACCAGGAAAAAAGAGUAGUAAAAUUCAUGUCACAUGCUAGUGAGAGAAGGGGUUGUUACACUCACUCGAAGUUCUUUCCAAAAUAUCGCAUGGUAUUUUAUUUUAUGUGUCAGCGCAGUUGUGAAUGGAACGUGCAAAAGUCCAAAUUGGCGUUUUUCCUUUUCCCGUGUAGGAUGGCGACCUUUAAUAAAUAUUUAAAACAAAAAACGAAAAAAAGGAGGGAAAAGGGAUCAGAAAAGAUAAAACAAUGUGUACAAGAGCUCAAUUAGUUUGCAAAUUACUGUUUGGAUUUUGAUAGUAUUUUAUUUGUCCAUCUAUAUUUGAUGGAAAAGAGAAUUUAAGAUAUUUCUGAAACAAAAGCAUUAGUGUAAAACUAAAUUAAGGUAUAAUUAAGUUAGUUCAAUGCAUUAAUUUAAGAAACUUGAUCUAUCCAAAGUACAAAAUUAGAUGAAAUCCAUUUCAAUGGUUAAAAUGAUCAAAAUCAAACUUUUUCUAAGUAUUUUUUAAAAGCAUCAAUAUUAAAAGACAAUUUUAUAUUUAGUCGGAGUUUGGACAAAACCAAAAAGCACACAAAAUCCAAGCGACCAUCUCUAGCUUGGAUAGUCACUUGAUCCCACCUAGAGAUGUGCAUGAGUAAAAGGAUUUGAAAAUGGAAAUUGACUAAAUAUUUAGUUGAUCAAUUAAAUUUGCAAUGUCAUAUGCAAUCCUAAUAGCUAGUCAUCUAAUCAAUUAGGUAGUCAAUCAAGUGUUUGUAAUGACUAUUUUGUACAAAAAACCACAUGUAUAGUUAAAUAUAAUGCAUUUCAUUUAUAAAUCUUCUAAUUCUUGAAUAACGAUCCUAUCAUCCUUUGAAAAUUUUUAUUACACCUUUUUUACUUUUGUUCUAAAACUUACAUAUCACCCUUAAUUGUACCAUGAGAACCUAGCUAUUUUUUUUUUUUUUGUAAUUCAUCAAAGUUAGCUUUUGUAUUCAUUGUUGUAUUAUUUUUAGUAUAACUUAGAAAGCUAGUGUUUUCAAGUGAGUAAAAUUAACUUGUAAAUAUUGUAAAGAUUCAUUGAUAUGUAUCUUAAACUAAGUGUACAAAUUAAAACAUUUGCUAGUAGAUUUUCUCAAAAUUUAGAAUAGAGCUUGAGGCUAUUGAAAUAGGUGGGGUUACACCAAACCACAUCACAUCGUUGUUUGCACCUUUUUUCACUCUCUUUUACUUAGUUUCUCUAUAUUUGUUGUCUAGUAAUAUCCUAUAGGCUUGAUGGGUUAGGGAGCAUCCCUUUGUGAAAAAAUUUCAUUCAAUUCUUAGUUGUAUUACGCAUAUAUAAAAUGCCUCAUUGUUUUAAUGGUAUUCAGUCGUGGCAUCACAGAUAUGGGCAUCUAAAUUUUAAAAGUUUGAAACUUUUGUAAAGCAUGUUGAUAAAAUCCAUGAGAGUUGUGUACUUGGGAAGCAACAUCGAGGUGACUUUAUUUUUUUUUCCUUUUAUAAUGCCACACCUAAGUCCGGUUUCUAAAUGCUAAAGUGAAAGGGUAGGUAUGGACCAUUGAAAUGUGAUCACAACUUUUGGCCUUUUCCUUUCUCUGCAGCCAUGUUGUCUCUUUUUUCUUUUGCAUGAUUUUCUUACCAAAACAGAAUCAUAGACUUGUUUAGUCUCUAAGCUACUAUAUUAUAUCUCGGUGGACUUUUAAGAGUGCAACCGACAUAGAGCACAUGCAAGUGGGCAUAUGGGACAUGAAAUUUCUUCUUACAAAGAUUGCAUGAUUUUUAUAUUAGAGUUGUUCACGUGCAAUGUAUUUAGCUUGUUUUGCAGUUAAAUUAAUUGGAUAAGUAAACAUUGGCAUUUCUAAAUCGACUGUGAAGUGCUUCAUGUACGUGUAAAGUAUUAGAAAUUUCUUUCUUGGCAACUUGUUUUUUCCUUGCCAUCUACUGGUAGGUUUGACUAAAAUUAUAUUCCCUGUCAUGCUAAUUAAUUUUCAUGUGCAUGCUCAAAAGAAGAGUAUGACCUUAGUGCACCAAAAUCACUUUGAUUAAUUUGUGAUAGGUUUUUUUGCAUCAUUUAGAUAAUGUUUAGUUCUAAGAAAAAUUUAUAUAAAAAUGGUUUAUUUAUCUUACAUAUAUAUAUAUAUAUAUAUAUUUUUUUUUUUUUCAUUUUUUUUUCUUCUAUUUUAUUUAUUUAUUUUAUUUUCCUUAUGUUUUCCUCACAUUUUCCGGAACUAAACAUAGUCUUACGAAAUCAACAAUUGCCUUCAACUGAGUAGAUUCUGUUGUUUUAGCAAUGUUAGGCUGCUAACUUGUGGUGGUACGAACCAAAUGACCCAUGUUAAUCUUGGCUUGGUUUGAUUUGGCUCUAUCUCAGAGAGCUAAAGGAUCACGUCAACUCUGGUUUCUACUAUUCAGGUCCAUUCCCAGAUGAACUGGUUCAAAUUUGAGAAAAUGGUAACAGACCUUUAGUGAUGUUGGUUUGGAGCCAGUUGCCAAACCCGCCCUGAGCUUUACCACUAAUGUCAAGGGAGAAAGCCAUUUGAACAAAAACAAUAGCUUCAAGAGACUGAAUCGUGGAUGAAAUCUGAUCCACAUUUCUUCUCAUUUUGGGAAAAAAUGAGAACUUAACUACAAAGAUUCUACUGCCUCAUUCAUAGUGCUUUUCCUGAUCCAAGGUUGGUUCGUUUCCCAAAUUGUGAGGUGCACGUGCCACUCUCACGCUCAGGAGUGUAUCCACGUGGUGGACAUCAGAUGGUGGCUUAAUAUCUGGUGUCGGUGGCUUUACUUUACUAGGAGAGUAGUGUGUCUUCAUCUCAUUCACUGCCGGAGGGUGGCGUAAGCAGUGACGCUAAGGUGGGGCACAGUCAAUAUCAUUUGCAUUUGACCAUUAUAGUUUUCUCCCGGCUUGAAAGUAACCUUAUCGUGAUAAAGGAUUACUAGCACUAGUUCAGAUGACCGUCAUGUUAAUUCGGACCAUGUUUGUGUCACAUUAUCAGCAACCAUGUGUUUAUGGUUCAUGCUAUCUGCAACUAAACUUGAUAUAUAACCAGGUGAACUUCAAUCAAAAUUCUGGAAGUACUCUUGUGAUAGAUGGUGCCUGUCUGCAGAGUCCAUCAAUUGAAAAAUGGAGUGAGUGUAUCUAUAAGAGGGAAGGCUUGGCAAAUGUUCAGUUUUCUGGGAAUUCAACAAGGAUCUAAAAUAGAUUGUUUUCUUUGCCGACUUCAAUGGUUGAAAUUUGAGAAGAUUGUGUCCACAUAUCACAACUAUUACUGGUCCUUCUGUUGCAAUUUAUCCUGUAAGGCUCUAACAUGUCUUCCAAUUCCCACUUCCCUGUUACUCCAGGAAAGCUAUUUCUGUCAUUGUGAAGAAGAAAAGAGAAUGUACAUAUCGAUGCUUUUAAGUGACUGGAGCAUUCAUAUCAGGUGGUCUGCAGCCAUAUAUGCCACUUUGUGAAGGUUGGAACAGUCAAUCACUAGGCUAUAUAUUGGUGUGGCCCAGCCACUUCAAUCAAGGACAAGUCUUCAUACUUAAAGUCAAAUUCUGCCUUUAGUCUCAUUAUAAAUUGCUGUUUAAAUAUUAAGCAAACUUUUGUUUAAUGCGAUUAAGACAGUACUAACUCAAUACUUGUUCUAUUUUUGGAUGCAAAUGCUUGAUGGUUUCAUCAUUGGAUGGGAUAAAGGUGCAUUCAUGAUUAUGAAUACUUGUAGUUAUAUUUUCAUUCUCUUUUUUCUCAAUGAGACUUGUUGGCACAAUGUUGCUGUUCAGAAACCUACCUCUCCAUGGAAAAUAAGUUGCGAUUGAUAGUACUGGAUAUGUUCAAGAAAGCUAAAUAUAGAUAGCACAAAAUAUUAUCGAUAUAAAUAGCAUUAACAGCGUACGUAUGUCUCAAUGCUCAUCAGCUAUAAGCAUGGGACAAACACUUACUAUGAGCAACUUACGUCAAAAUUCCAGAAUAGGACAUAGAAGUGACAGAUCUAUAUAUAUAGAACACUGCAUAUGAGUCACAAGAAAGGAAAUUACGGGUGCAUAGCAGCUCUUAUUUUACAUACUACUACUCAUACUGAUCAAAGUCACUCAGUUGGGAUGGGUGGGAGUAGGAGGUUUGUGGGGUGGCUUGUGCGGAGGAGUUGGCAGCUUCUUUCCAGGACCUGGUUGCUUCUCUGCUGGAGUUGAAGGAGGCUUAAUCUUCCGAGGUGGCUUGUAUGAGUCUUCAGCAUUCUCAGCUGGAGGGUGACCAGGGUUGUGACCAUAAUGUGGUGGCUUCUCUCCCUUAGGUGGUUUGCCAACUGGGGUUGGUGGCUUGUAUGAGUCUUCAGCAUUCUCAGCAGGAGGGUGACCAGGGUUGUGACCAUAAUGUGGUGGCUUCUCUCCCUUAGGUGGUUUGCCAACUGGGGUUGGUGGCUUGUGUUCUGGGAGUGGCUUCUCCCCCUUGGGAGGUUUUUCCAAUGGGGUUGGUUUGUGUUCAGGAGGUGGCUUCUCCACUGGAGGCUUGUGUUCAGGAGGUGGCUUCUCCACCGGUGGCUUGUGUUCAGGAGGUGGCUUCUCCACCGGAGGCUUAUGCUCUGGUGGUGGCUUCUCCACCGGAGGCUUAUGCUCUGGUGGUGGCUUCUUGAAUGGGGGAUGCUGAGGGUAAUCAGCAAGUGAGGGGGCGGUGAGAACCACCAGGCCAAGCAACACCACUAGCAAAUAUGUAGGAGACAUCUUUGGGUUUGGGCUCAGAUGGUGCAAAACUAGGAGAAUUGGCUAGCCUUUUAUAGCGGAUCGUACUCAAUAAUGAAAUGACACGUGUCAUUAUGACCCAUGUGUAAUGGGGUCGAUUUGGGUCCUACAGUGUUGAAAACUUCGACAUCCAGUUUUGGCCUUUUGCUUUCUCUACAGCCGCCUUGCUUUUUCCCUCUUUCCUUUUGUUUUCCUCCUGCCCCAUUCUAUCAACUAAACACAAUUAUGUAGUUGUUUAAUUCUUAAAUGAGAUAUUAUCGGUCAAUCGUAUUAUAUUUUAUCAAGAGAGAACGGAGUGCAAUGCAGCUGUAAUUUUAUCGUUUACUUUUAUCUCUUGGACCACUGCAUUUUUGUUAAGAGGUGCAAUAAUACACGUCUUUAUCUGCCAUUCAAUGUUUACAGUAAAGAGAGGGCACAAAACUCUUCACUGCUCUGCAUGUGUCCCAAAAAUGCGAUUGGACAAAUUAUGAUUUGCAUGCUAAAAAGAGGCAAAUGAGGUUAAUUCGCACCAUAAUUAUUUGGUUUUCUGGACACCAUAAAAAGAUGUUAUACAGGCAGGGAAAAACCUUCAGAGUUAGCUACCAAAGAUAAUUAUCAAGCAGAUAUCACCAAGAGAAUUCCAUAGAGUCUGAAUCAAAGACAGAUUGCUCGCUCGUGGGGGUUCUUACUUUCUUUUGGGUAUAACUCACUGAGGUCACUGUCUUUUUUAUUUGCAUUUCACAGUUAGAGUUCUGCUCUGGAAGGUUUGUUCUGGAAACAUAUAAAAGGAGCAUCAUUUUGUUCUUGGGUAACCCAUAGUCGUGAGUGGGUCCAUUUGCAUGCUACUUAGUUGAAAAGUUGGACAAUUUGCUCCGACGCCUACCUCCUGGAUUCCAUGCUCGGUAAAACAAGAAUAAAAAAAAAUAUAUAAUUUACAAAUGGGGGAAAGAAAAAAUGUCGGAAAAAAUAGUAAAAUUCAUGUCACAUGCUAGUGAGAGAAGGGGUUGUUACACUCACUCGAAGUUCUUUUCAAAAUAUCGAAUGGUAUUUUACUUUAUGUGUCAGCGCAGUUGUGAAUGGAACGUGCAAAAGUCCAAAUUGGCGUUUUUAUUUUUCCCAUGUAGGAUGGUGACCUUUAAUAAAUAUUUAAAACAAAAGACGAAAAAAAAAAGGAGGGAAAAGGGAUCACAAAAGAUAAAAUAAUGUUUACAAAAGCUCAAUUAGUUUGCAAAUUACUGUUUGGAUUUUGAUAGUAUUUUAUUUGUCGUUCUAUAUUUGAUGUAAAAGAGAAUUUAAGAUAUUUCCGAAGCAAAAGCAUUAGUUUGCUCUGUGAUGUCCCACAUCGAAUAGGGGAGAAAGUUUCUGGCGCUAUAUAUGUAGAGGCUCCUCUUAACCAAGUAGAUGCGUUUUAAAACCAUGAGGGCCCCCUUAGGUCCAAAGCGGACAAUAUCUACAUGAUUGGGUGUAAGUCAUUACAAAUGGUAUCAGAGCCGAUCCCCGACCCCGGUGUGGGGGUUUGUUUGGCCCUGUAAGGGGUGUUUGUCUGUUUGACCCCACAAUCCCAUGGGACACAACGAGGACGUUGUGUCUGCAUGGGGGGGCGUUUGUGAUGUCCCACAUCGGAUAGGGGAGAAAGUUCCUAGUGCUAUAUAUGUAGAUGUUUCUCUUAACCAAGUAGAUGCAUUUUAAAAUUGUGAGGGCCUCUUUGGGCCCAAAGCGGACAAUAUCUACAUGGUUGAGUGUAAGUCAUUACAUGCUCCAUGUCAAUUUCAGCAUUUCUCAUAUGUUUCACACAUACACAGAAGAGCAUCGUUUUUUAAAGCAUGCAUUUAUGUUGGAUUAAUUUGGAUUUUGUGGGAACUGGGGCAAGGAUCACAUGGAAGAGAGGUUGACUUUUUUCAGUACUUCAAUGGUUGAAAUAUGUGAAGGCUUGAUUGAUACUAAAGCUUGAAAUUGCGACUCUGUCAUUUGUAAAAAAAUAUGACAGCUUCCAUGCUCUCGUUUGGUUGCAUUGUCCGGUCGAGAGGUGCAAAAAGCAUUCUCUCUCUUCUAAUAGUCUUUUCGUUUAAAUCAAGGGAUUUGCCUUCCCGGUCGAGGUCCAAUAGAGGGUAACGGUCACCUACUAAACAUUAAAUGCUCCAACAACUAGUGAACUGAUCGACCCCAGCUCGACUAGUUGAGGUUACUUUUUGGUUUUCUUGUCUCCCGAGGUUAGAAACCUAUAAAUAGAGAGCUUCACUUCAUUUAUGAGUAAGAGAACACCUAAAUUUAUUUGUUUACCUACUUGUUUUUGCCAUAAAAGCUCUCAUUUCUUUUCUUGGUGUAUUAAAUCUCCAUUUGCAUAUCCUUUAGUGCACCUUUGUGAUUCAUUCUAGCCUUGAGUUGUAUUUAAGCCUUUGUUGAGCUAGGUUGAGAGUUUCAUACUUGUUUAUUGAGUGUUAAAGCCUUCAAGUGAGUUAAAACUUGAAGAGAUUGUGUAAGAGCCCAUUGGAGUCGGAAUCCAAGUGUAAAGGUGAUUAAAAGCUUGGUUGAAGCUUCAAGUUAGUGGAACUCUCACUCGGUUAUGAGCUUGAGAAGAGUGGACAUAGACAAGGCAGUGUCGAACCACUAUAAAAUCUGAGUUUGAUUUCUCUAACCUUAUCUCUUUAUAUUUGCUUCUCUUGUGCUUAAAUUUUUUGUGUUUAAAAAGAAUUUUUAAAAACUCAAUUCACCCCCUUCUUGGGAGUUUUUCUCUUUUAAGAUCAGCUUUUAUUUUCUCAAUUGGUAUCAGAACUAUGCCUCUUGUUUAAGACUUAAUCGUCUAAGAGGAAAUGGCUAAUCCAUCAAGUUCAUCUCACAUUGAAAGUUUUGCAACCAAUAGACUUCUUUUUUUUUUUUUGCGGGAACUGAUUAUCCCUAUUGGAAAACUAAAAUGACUUGGUUUUUACAAUCAAUUGAUUUAGAUGUAUGAGAUGCCAUUGAAGAUGACCUAACUUUUCCUUCAAAACUAGUUGAUGGAGUCAUGGUUCCAAAACCUAAGCAAGAAUGGGAUGAGCGUGAUUGAAGAAAUUUUCAAUUAAAUGCUAAAGUCGUUUAUACUUUGCAAUGCUCUAUGGACAGAAAUGAAUAUAAUAGAAUAUGUCAAUGCAAAUCGGUUAAAGAAAUUUGGAGAUUGCUUGAAAUAACUCAUAAAGGAACAAAUCAAGUUAAAGAGUCAAAAAUCAAUUUACUUGUUCAUAGAUAUGAAUUGUUUUUUAUGAAAGAUAAUGAAACUAUUGUUAAGAUGAUCACUAGGUUCACCAACAUUGUUAAUGGUCUUAAAGCCUUGGGAAAGACCUACAAGGAAUCCGAAAACGUGAUGAAGAUCUUGAGGUCACUUCCAUCAAAGUGGCAUACCAAGGUCACCGCAAUUUAAGAAGCAAAAGACUUGAUCAAGCUACCUUUGGAGGAGUUCAUAGGGUCAUUGAUGACAUAUGAAAUCAAUUUGGCAAAGAAGUAACAAAAAGGUGAAGACAAAAAGAAGAAGAACAUAACUCUCAAAGCUACAACUAAGGAAGAAGAAGUUGAAGAAGAAAAACAAAUUGAAGAAGAUGAAGAUUUAGCCCUCAUCACAAGAAAGUUCAACAAAUUCAUGAGGGGUGAAAGGUUUAGAAGAAGAAGGUUCACUUCUAGAAGAGACUUUUCUAAAAAGGAAUCUUCAUCUAAUGGUGACAAAAAGAGAUGGGAAGAGAAAAGAGACUUGGUGUGUUUCAAGUGCAAGAAACCGGGACACAUUAAAUAUGAUUGUCCUCUCUACAAAAGUGAAGUCAAGAGGAAAAAGAAUAAGGCAAUGAUGGCCACUUAGAGUGAAAGUGAAGAUGAAUCAUCCGAAGAAGAAAAUGAGAAAGAAGUGGCAAACAUGUGUUUCAUGGCAAUAGAUGAACUUGAUGAGGUAAAAUCUAACCUUAGUGAUUAAGAUAUACAUGAUGCAUUUGAAGAAUUGUAUGAGGAUUUUUAAAAACUUAGUUUGAAAAAUAUUUCUCUUAAAAAGAAAGUUCAACAACUUGACAAAGAACUUAGAGAAGUAAAAGAAAAAUUUUCAAAUGUUAAAGUUUCUAAAACUCAUCUUGAAAAAGAAAAUGAGAUUCUAAGAAAGAAAAAUGAAUAGUUGAACUCCUCUCUUUCAAUCUUUUCUUCUAGACAAAAAUCUUUUGAAAUGAUUCUAACUAGCUAAAAAUGUGUUUUUGACAAACAAGGGUUAAGAUUUAAAUCUUCAAAAAAUCAAAAGUAUUUUAAAAACUAUUUUGUAAAGGAAUCCACAAGUGCAAGUCCUUCCACUACUUGCAACUUUUGUGGAAGAGAAUGGCACAUUAGUAGUACGCCCUUUAAGAAAUGGUUCUCAAAAGAAUUUAAAUGCAAAAACUAAAAAAGAUUUGGAUUGAGAAAUCCAAGGUCACUAACCCUCAAGGACCCAAAAAGAUAUAGGUACCUAAAUCAACUUGAGUUUUAUGUUGUAAGGUUCAAAGAAUGAUAAGUGGUUCUUAGAUAAUGGUUGCUCAAGACACAUGACCGGAGAUGAAUCCAAGUUUGCUUUUCUUAAAAAGAAAAAUGGAGGAUAUGUUACCUUUGGAGACAAUGCAAAAGAAAGGAUGAUUGGUCAAGGCAACAUUGGUAAUGGCACAUCCUCUCUCAUUGAAAGUGUUUUAUUAGUAGAUGGUUUCAAACAUAACCUUUUAAGCAUUAGUCAAUUUUGCGACAAAGGUUUUUAAGUGAUUUUUUAAGCAUCUCAUUGCAUCAUCAAGGAUAUUCAAAAUGAUAAAACCAUUUUCAUGGGCCAUAGAUGUGAUAAUGUUUAUGCUAUAAAUAUUUCAAAAUAUGAUGGCCAUGAUAGAUGUUUUUCAAGCAUGCAUGAUCAAAGUUGGUUGUGCCAUAGGAGAUUGAGACAUGCUAACAUAGACCUCAUUUCCCAACUCAACAAAGAUGAACUUGUUAGAGGCCUUCCCAAAAUAAUUUUUUAAAAAGAUAAAGUUUGUGAAGCUUGUCAAGUGGGAAAGUAAAUCAAAAACUCUUUUAAAAACAAAAACUUCAUUUCCACAUCUAGGCCACUUGAGUUGUUGCAUAUGGAUUUAUUUGGUCCCUCUAGGACACCAAGUCUUAGAGGAAAUUCUUAUGCAUAUGCUAUUGUGGACGACUUCUCUAGAUACACAUGAGUCUUGUUUUUUAGUCAAAAGAAUAAAGUUUUUUAUGAGUUUUCAAAGUUUUGCAAUAAGAUUCAAAAUGAAAAAGGUUUUUCAAUUACUUAUAUAAGAAGUGAUCAUGGGAGAGAAUUCGAAAAUAUUGAUUUUGAAGAGUAUUGCAAUGAGCAUGGAAUUGACCACAAUUUUUUGGCUCUUAGAACUCCUCAACAAAAUGGGGUAGUUGAAAGGAAAAAUAGAACUCUUCAAAAAAUGACAAGAACCAUACUAAAUGAAAACAACUUACCAAAAUAUUUUUAGGCCAAAACGGUUAACACUUCUUGUUAUGUUUUAAAUAGAGUAUUAUUGAGGCUCAUACUUAAGAAAACUCCCUAUGAGCUUUGGAAAAACAAAAAACCCAACAUUAGUUAUUCCAAAGUCUUUGGAUGCAAUAUUUUAUAAUAAACACCAAAGACAAUCUUGGAAAAUUUGAUGCAAAAUUGGAUGUUGGAAUUUUCCUUGGUUACUCAACUUCAAGUAAAGCUUUUCGAGUUUUAACAAAAGAACCAUGGUUGUAGAGGAGUCCAUCCAUGUUAUUUUUUAUGAAUCUCCAAGAAAGAGAGAGGAUUGAUGAUGAUUUAGGUUUGAAGACCUCUAUAGGAAGAUUGCAAAUCGAAGAUAGAAGACAACAAGAAGAAAAUGGAGAGAAUCCAAAGAAAGAAGGAUCACCAUUGGCACUACCCCCUCAUCAACAAGCGCAAGGUGAAUCAAGUCAAGAGCUUCCUAAAGAAUGGAAGUUUGUCAUCAAUCACCCACAAGAUCAAAUUAUAGGCAAUCCAUCUAGUGGGGUAAGAACUAGAUCCUCUCUUAGAAAUAUUUGCAAUAAUCUAGCUUUUAUCUCUCAAAUUGAGCCUAAAAAUAUAAAUGAUGUUUUAGAUGAUGAAAAUUGGAUAAUUGCAAUGCAAGAAGAGUUAAAUCCAUUUGAAAGAAGUGGAGUAUGGGAAUUAGUACCAAGACCUUCAAAUCAAAGUGUUAUUGGAACUAGAUGGAUCUUUAGAAAUAAAAUGGAUGAAAAUAGCAUAAUUGUUAGAAAUAAAGCAAGAUUGGUAGCCCAAGGUUUUAAUCAAGAAGAAAUGAUAGAUUAUGAAGAAACCUUUGCCCCCGUAGCUAGGUUGGAAGCCAUUAGGAUGCUACUUGCCUUUGCAUGUUUUAAAGACUUUGUUUUAUAUCAAAUGGAUGUGAAAAGUGCUUUUUUAAAUGGUUUUAUAAAUGAAGAAGUAUAUGUUGAACAACCACCCGGUUUUCAAAGUUUCAACUUUCCUAACCAUGUUUUUAAACUUAAAAAGACACUUUAUGGUUUGAAACAAGCACCUAGAUCAUGGUAUGAAAAAUUGAGUAAAUUUCUUUUGAAAAAAAUGUUUUAAAAUGGGAAAAAUUGACACAACUCUUUUUAUAAAAACCAAAGAAAAUGAUAUGCUCUUAGUUCAAAUAUAUAUUGAUGAUAUCAUUUUUGGUGCUACUAAUGUCUCUCUUUAUGAAGAAUUUUCUAAGUGCAUGCAUAGUGAGUUUGAAAUGAGCAUGAUAGGAGAACUCAACUUCUUCCUUGGACUUCAAAUCAAGCAACUAAAGGAAUGAACCUUCAUCAAUCAAGCAAAGUAUAUAAGAGAUCUUCUCAAAAGGUUCAACAUGGAAGAAGCCAAAACAAUGAAGACUCUAAUGAGCUCAUCCAUUAAGCUUGAUAAGGAUGAGAAAGGUAAAUCCAUUGACUCUAUUAUGUAUAGAGGCAUGAUAGGUUCUUUGCUCUAUUUGACCACUAGUAGACCUUACAUUAUGUAUAGUGUGUGUUUGUGUACUAGAUUUCAAUCUUGUCUUAAAAAAUCUCACUUAAGUGUCGUGAAAAGAAUCCUCAAAUAUUUGAAAGGGACAAUGGACAUAGGCUUAUGGUAUCCUAAGAGUGAUAACUUUGAAUUAAUUGGUUUUUUGGAUGCUGAUUUUGUCAGUUGUAGGGUUGAAAAAUAAAACACUAGUGGCACUUUUCAUUUCUUAAGACACUUACUUGUCUCAUGGCAUAAUAAGAAGCAAAAUUUGGUAGCUUUGUCAACAGCAGAAGCUAAAUACAUAGCAACUGGUUUAUGUUGUGCACAAAUCCUUUGGAUGAAAUAAACACUUAGUGAUUUUGAUUUAUCUUUUGAGCAUAUUCCUAUUAAAUGUGAUAAUAGUAGUGCCAUAAGUAUAUCAAAAAAUCUCGUGCAACACUCUAGGACUAAGCAUAUAGAGAUUAGACAUAAUUUUCUUAGAUAUCAUACACAAAAGGAUGAUAUAACACUUGAAUUUGUAAGCAUAAAAGACCAACUUGCCGAUAUCUUUACAAAACCUCUAAGAACAUUUUGUUGAUAUUAGAGGACAAUUAGGAGUGAUUUCUUUAUGAUCUAAUGUGAUGAAUUCUUGAUGAAUAUACUUUUUGAUUGCAUGAAUUUCAUGUCAUAUAUGCAUCAUAUAGAAAUAUACUUAGAUAAUGGUCAAAUUUCGACCAAAAAUCAAAAUUCCCAUGGCAUUAGGCAUAAAAAUUUUGGAAUUUCAACUGAAAAUGGUAGGAGGAGGAUCACAAAAUGAGAAAGUAUGCAAAAAUUGAAAAAUCAAAACGUUGACCAAGCGGUCAAUCGGACUAGACCGAUCGACUAGUUUGUCGAGAUUUAGGAUUUUUAAGAGACUCCAACGCUUCAAUUUUUGCACCGUUCUCCUCUAUUUCUUCACGGUUUCUCUGAUUUUGUCUUUUAGAGACUAAUUUGAGUGCGUUUUGGAUCAAUUGAAGCAUUUUGGAUUGGAUUUUAGGAAGAUUGAAAGUUAAGGUUUCGGAUUUGGGUCGCCUUCUCUUCCUCUCGCGUGUCACAAUCAGCUUUAGCAUUGUUCUCUUUCCAUUUUCACACACCUAGGGUUUCAGUUGUGAGCAUCUCUCUCUCUUUACCAACCACUACUCCCUUGCUUCUUCCAUAUGGCUCCUAGGCGAGAGUCCGCUACUUCUAGGGCACAAGGCAAGCACCCAACUGAGUCGUCUCAGUCAAAGGCACGUCGAAAAGUGAGAUUUGACAUUGCCUUGUUCAGUUCCAUGGAGGACUACCAACUAUACAAGCAACACUUUGCUUAGAGACGAGUAGUUCCCAAGAGAAAUAUUAAUUUUCCUCAACUUCAGCAUUUCGAAUUUAAGGGUCUAUUUACUAGGAUGGUUGGUUGUCUAUUGUCACAAUUUCGGAGCCGGUUUUCCUGACCUUAGUGCGAGUUUUUUACUCGAGGGCGACUUAUGGCAUGGGUGGCAUGAUCAUUUCUACUGUUGGAGGAGUUGAGAUCUGUCUGGACCCAGAGAGCAUCUGCCAUAUUUUCGAUAUUGCUCUGGUUGGACUCAAAGUAUACAAGUCCAAAAUGUGGCCCAUUGUGCCAGGAUUUGAGCUUAGAGAGGUCAUUCAGAGGAUUUGUGAACUUCCAGACGCCCAGGAGAUGGGCAAACCAUUGCCACACAGUUUGACGGUCAUCAACAGGGUGCUACACCAUAUAUUGUGCUCUAUCUUUCUACCACGAAGUGGACAUUGAGAUGAGGUCUCUUAUUAUGAGGCAUUCCUUAUUGACUCCAUUCUAACGGAGAGACGAAUUCAUCUACUAUGUCAUCAUUCACUAAGCCUCCUCACAGUGACAUACCACCUCAUCAGGCACCUCUUGCUCCUGACCAUGCUCCAUUGAUGGAUUUAUUUACUCAUAUUAGCUCUCUAGGCACUCGCAUGAAGGAGUUUGUUGUAGUUAGUGAUACAUGGUUCUACUCCAUAGAGGAUCGCAUGGAUCAGUAUCAGACUGGCUUCACGUCACAGUUUGAGUAUCUCCAAUAGAGGAUUGAGCAUAUUGAGGAUCACUUGAGCAUGAGAAGAUGAUGGCUUUUCUAUGCUCUGUGUUUCCACCUCCACCUCGUCAACCUUGAUUUCUUAGAGACCCAUUGUUUUCAUUUUGUAAUGUUGCCAAAAGGGGGAGAUAUUUAGGAUCUAGGACUCUAUAGGAGACUUACAUGCAUAUCAUUUUCAUAUCAUUGUUUGGAUCGUACAUAUUGGAUAGUGAUACUUUUUACUUAUAUAUGAUAUGCCUAUAUGUUUCAUGUCUUACAUUGUUUCUUAUUGCAAAUUAUCUCUAACAUGUCUUGAUUAUCUUUUUUUUAACUUCAUAAAUUUUGAUUGUUAACCCAUGAUUGGUUUGAGGGGAAGAUUCUUCUUCUCCUAGAUAACCAAGGUUUGUCAUCAUAAAAAAAUUGGAGAUUGUUAGCCCAAGGGUUCUCCUAAUCAUGUUUUGAUGAUAACAAACCAUGCUUAAGUUACUAAUUGGUUUGAAUUAUAAAGAAUUUCAAGUGUUAAUUUGAAAAUUCAUCAAAGAACCUAAUGGAUGCAAGAUCAAGAUUUUUGGAAGACCUUUAAUCAUAAGAAACAUAUGUAAGAUGAAUGCAUGGGUGCACUUAAGAUUUGCAUAUCAUUUCAUGCAUAUUUGGAAAACACGGUUUAUGCUUUAAAGUUACAUUUCCAUCAAAAUUUGAGAUCCAUCAAAUGAACCUUAGGAAAAAUGUUUUAAAAUUGGCAUAUAAUUUUACCUAAAGACCUUGCCUAAGUGUUAGAAGCAAAAGGACAAAAAAAAUAUAGGUUUUCUGGUCAAAAAUGGUGAACCAGUCAAGGCAUUGUCUAAAUCAGCUCAAUCGGCCAAGGUACCGGUCGAUCGGUUUCCCUUUCCCUGUCGAGAUCUAGUCAAGAGGUACAAAAAUCACAAUCUCUGUCUCUUUCUCUCUUUGUCUAUCUUCCAGUAGUCUUUCCUUCCCGGUCGAGGGAUUUGCCUUCCCGAUUGAGGUCCGAUUGAGAGUAAUAGUCACUUGCCAAAUAUUAAAUGCUCCAACAGUUAGUGAACUGGUCGACCCCCACCUUGCCCAGUUGAGGUUACUUUUUGGUUUUCUUGGCUCCCGAUGUUAGAAACCUAUAAAUAGAGAGUUCCACUUCAUUUAUGAGCAAGAGAACACUUGCAUUUAUUUGUUUACCUACUUGUUCUUGCCUUAAAAGCUCUCAUUUCUUUUCUUGGUGCAUUAAAUCUCCAUUUUGAUAUCCUUUAGUGCACCUUUGUGAUUCAUCUUAGCCUUGAGUUGUAUUUGAGCCCUUUUUUUAGCUAGGUUGAGAGUUUCAUACUUGUUAAUUGAGUGUUAAAGCCUUCAAGUGAGUUGAAACUUGUAGAGAUUAUGUGAGAGUCGAUUGGAGCCGAAAUCCAAGUGUAAAGGUGAUUAGAAGCUUGGUUGAAGCUUCAAGUUAGUGGAAUCCUCACUCAAUUAGGAGCUUGAGGAGAGUGGACGUAGCCAAGGAAGUGUCGAACCACUAUAAAAUUUGAGUUUGAUUUCUCUAACAUUGUCUCUUUAUAUUUGUUUAUCUUGUGCUUAAAUUUAUUGUGUUUAAAAAGAAUUUUUAAAUACCCAAUUCACCCCCCUCUUGGGUGUUUUUCUCUUUUAAAAUUAGCCUUUAUUUUCUCACAAACUAUUGUAGUAUAGUGGUUUUUAGGUGUCAUCCAUUAGGAUGAAUUGUUCUCGGUAAUUAAGGCGUGAAUGAGAGGAGAAUUAAUGAUUGUGAUUAAGUAAAAUUGAUUUGAAAAUUCAUGGUGAAAAAUCAAUUUAACAAUGGUUUCUAAUUGAGAAAAACAAUGAAAUGUGAAAUAAAAUAAAAUUAAUAGGAAAUGAAAUUCUCGAAGUUAGAAUUUUCUAAAAAACAAAUUCCAUGGUGAAUGGAUGUUGAGAUCUAAUUUUCAUCAAGUUAGAUUGAAAACCGAAAUUUUCAUAUAAACUGAUUUUUUAUUUAGUUUUAGGUCUAGAUUUAAUUUCCCUUAAAAUUAGGUUAUUUAAUCCAAGAAAUCAAUUCAAAUCAUAUAUUCAAUUCAUCUUAAAUUAUCUUCCAAUUAUUCACACAAUGCAACUAUUCAAUCUCAUCAAAUCUAGCUUUUAAGAAUUUAAUGAAUCUACCUAGUUUGCAUUGUAAUAGUCAUCCAUGACAAUUUGAAGAGAAAAAUAAUUCAAUUAAUCAAUCACUUGGAUCAAAUUACCUUUGCAAUUAAAGUUCAUUUCUCUAAUUCACCACAGAUUUUGUCUCUAGAUCCUCCUUUCUCAAAGAAAAAUGAGAUUUAGCCACACAUGAUUGGAGAUUUGGUCUCAUAAGGCAUGUUUAGCUAGUGAUAAAAUGAGAGAAAAUAAAGAAAAAUAGAGAAUUCGAUUAAGAAAGAAAAUCUAAAAAAUUCUACAAUUAGAAAUGUCCAAAAAGCUUUUUCAUGAGAAAAUCAAGUUUCUAUUUAUAGGCCAAGGUCAAGUGGACACUUGACAUCAUCUAAGAGGUCUUCCGGAAGCUUCUUCAUCAAGAAAUCUGGAGUUUAAUAAUAAAAUGGUCAUUUCACAAGAGCUCAAACAAUUUCGCAUGAUUAUGUGAAAUAAAAAAUGCAACAACAGCAAUUUACAUCUUCUUGGAGCAUUUCGCAUGACUGUGUGAAAUUUUCACAUGAUCAUGUGGAAUCGACUUGACAACUCUCAUUUAGCCUACAACAUAAUUCCACCUUUUGGUCCAUUUUUCAUAGUCAUGCGAAAUGGAAAUAUUUGAUUUUUAAGUUUUCUUUUGUCAUUUCUUUCAUUUCCUUCUCUUGAUUCCACUUCAACUACCUCCGAAUCCUGGUCCAAACCAAUUGCAUUACUUCUUUCAUUAUGCAUUUGGAUCAUCAUCAACAUUAUUUGUUCUCUUCAAUUUGAUUCAUCUCUUUUGUCACCAAUUUAUCAAAAUCAUACCUUGAAAUGACUCCAAAACUUCAUAAAACUUGUUAGUAACUCUUGCAAGGGCAACAACAUAUUAAUUAAGUGUUUUAGGCAUAGUUACUACUCAAAAGAUGCGAAACUCAUGAUAAUUAUUAUAUAAAAUAUGCUCUUUUUGAGUAGUAAUCAACUUUCUUGCAUAAGCAGACCUUUUAGGGUGGAGUACUAAAGACCAAUAUGCUUGUCCUUGUUGUAAUAAAGAAACUUGCUCUUAUUGAUUGCACCAUGGGAGAAAAUUUUGCUACAUGAGUUAUCAUCAAUUUCUUCCCACCAAUCAUAGAUUUAGACGUGACAAGAGGCCUCUUAAUGGCAAGGAGGAACUGACACUCACACUUAUACAAUUAUCGGGCAUUGAUGUGUUGCAACAAUUAGAAUAACUUACACCAAUUAUGUUGGGGAAGUCACAAAAGGCAAACAUGAAAACUAAAAGGAAAAAAGAAAAAUGUUACAUAUCACCACAACUGGAAAGAAAAAAGUAUUUACUUUCAUUUGCCAUAUUGGAAAGCACUUAUUUUACAUCAUAAUAAUUUAGACAUAAUGCAUAUUGAGAAAAAUGUGUGACAAUAUAAUUGAGACAUUGUUCAGUAUUGACGAAGAAACAAGGACAACCUAAAUAGUCAUCUCGAUUUACAAGCUCUAACUAUUAGAAAUGAGAUUCACCCAAUAGAAAGCAGGACCAAAUUUAUUUUGCUUGCAACAUGCUACUCACUCACCCCAAAUGAGAUUAAGGAAUUUUGCAAGUUUUUGAAAUCAAUAAAGGUCCCCAAUGGCUAUUCUUUCAAUAUCUCUCGUUAUGUGCAACUCAAUGAAAGGAAGAUAUAUGAGCUCAAAUUGUAUGAUUGUCAUGUCCUAAUGCAACAACUUCUCUCACUUGUAGUUCGUGGAGUUCUACAUAAGAAUGUUUGUGGAGUUAUCAUAGAAUUGCGUAAUUUUUUCAAGCAAUUGUGCUCAAAGGUGUUAGAAACAAAUCACUUACACCAACUUGAGAACAAUAUUAUUGUCAUACUAUGUAAAAUGGAGCAAAUAUUUCUUCCAUCAUUCUUUGAUAUUAUGGUGCAUUUACUUGUGCAUCUAGUAAGGCAAAGGUUGCAAGACUUGUGCAAUAUUGUUGGAUGUACCUAAUUGAACGAUAUUGUUAUAAUUUCAUAUGAAUCAUUUAAUUUUAUUUUAUAUUAUGUUCAGUUCAUUAACAUGUACAUUGGUCUACAUAUGGAUGAUGAUAGGUACCUAAGCACUUUAAAGUCAUAUGUGCGUAAUAGAACUUUUCUAGAAGGUUCUAUUGUAGAAAGGUACCUUGCAAAAGAAUGUACAACAUUUUAUUCUAGGUACUUGAAUGAUGUGGAAAUAAAGUAUAAUCACAAUGAUAGAAACUUUGUUGGUUUCAACACUAGAGGAGAUGAAAGGGGUUAUCUUUAAACAUAUUGGACAUGCAUUGGGAAAGCCCAUAUUUCAUUAACUUAGUUCAAAAGAGUGGUCACAAGCACAUUUAUAUGUGUUGACAAAUUGCGAAGAUGUCAUACCAUUCAUUGAGUAAAAAAUUUAUUUGAAUUUUAAUUAAAGCUCUAGUUUAUAUCCUUAAUCAAUGUUUUUUAAAUUCACAAGGAGCACAAGCAAACCAUCAAGGCUAGACCACAUAUACGUGUUUGAGACGUAGAUUUAAUUCAUAACAAGGAAUUUAUCAAGUGGUUUGAAAGACAUGUAAGUAUAUUCCUUAUUAUAAGGGAUUUAUUUCACAUUAUGUUUAUAUUGAAUCCAAACCUAUUAUUGAAUUGUAGGUUGAACAAUUACAUAAUGAAGGUCAUAUAUCUGAACACCUUCUCACAUUAUCAUGUGUUCCAAAUUCAUUAGUUACAUGCUUCAAAUGAUAUAUUGUCAAUGGAUUUAGAUCCCACAUUAAAGAACGUGAUAAAAAAGUUUUUAAAAAAAGACUCAGAAUAAUGGAAUUGUUGUAGUUGCAAAAACGUCAAGCUUUACAAGUGCAUGUGAUAUGAGUCCAAUUAUUAGUGAUGCUCUCUACUAUGGUGUUCUAACUAAAGUUGUUGAGUUACAUUAUCUUGGUGAAAAUAAGGUUGUUUUAUUCGAGUUUGAUUGGUGGGAUGUUACAAAUAUUGGAAAAUUGAUAAAAGAUGAUGAGUACAAUUACACAUUUGUUAACUUUGCAUGAAUUCUAACCACGAACGAACGAUUUGUACUUGCAUCUCCAGCAAAGUAAGUGUUCUAUGUGAAGAAUGCGAAUGAAUCAGAUUGGCAUACUAUCAUGGAGAUGCAACCUCAAGACCUCUAUAAGAUGAACGGGAUAGGAUCCAAUGGUGAUUUUGAACCAUUUCAACAAAGUGAACUACAUGAUCACUAAUAUAUCUCAGAUUUAGUUGAUGAAGAUAUAAUCAAGUGGAACAAAAGUGAUGUUUUAGGACUAAUCAUCCUAAAAAAUAUUGUAGUUUCUUAAAAAAAAAAUGAAAAUGAAGAAGAUAAUUGAACCUUUGUCAUACUUUAAAAAGCAACUAUGCAUUGUUCAUUUUGUAUGUUUUGGUUUUCUUCAUUUAAUUUCCUGAUUUUUGUGAUUCAAUGUCAUAUUAUUGAUCUUGAAAUAUUUUUCUAAUUUUUCAUUCUACGAUGGUUUCAACAAGGAUGACAUCAAGUCAAAAAAGGAAAUGUGGUCCCACACACAAUAUUGCAUUACAGGGAUUAAGGUCAGGGAAGAAGGUAAAAGUUGCAUUUAAUGAGUACAAUCAAUUGGUUAAACAGAAAAAUGGAAAACACUUAUCGAGCUACAUAGGGACACUUGUAUCUAACCAACACAAUGUACCUCUCCAAGCUAGUGAUUGGAAAAAUGUUCCAAAUGAUGCAAAAGAGAAAGUAUGGCCUUUGUUUUGGUAUGUUGUAUUUCUCACUAUAUGAUGUCAUUUCACUGUUAUUCUAUUUUGUGACUAACGUUUGAAUCAUAUGUAAGAAAAAUUUGAAGUAGAUAAAGACUGAAAAGAUUACAUGUUGGGUAUAGCCUCAAAUAAAUAUAGAAGCUAUAAAAAUAUGAUGAAUGCAAAAUACUAUGACCCUUGGCAUAAGGAUGCAUGAGGAGAGGUUAAUACAUAAAUCACCAUUUGUCUCUGAUGUUGAUUGGAAGUGGCUUGUCUCUGAUGCAUAAACCAAAUCCCCCACUGAAUGUUUGAUAUUUGAUAGCAGGAAAAACACACCCGCAGCUAUACACCUCCAUCAUUCAGAUAAUUAUAGUGGGGGAGAUGAUUCAUGGUUGCCCUUAUACCCUUUAUUUGCACCAUCUAUUGAGAUUCUUUAUCAUGGCCAGGUUUUACUGCAGCAAUAAGAUAUGGUGGCAACAAUUUUAUCUAUAGGUGCGGUUCCAGACCGCCUCCAUAGGUGCGGUUCCUGACUGCCUCCAUAGGUGCCUCUUCUUGUAAUGUUUGUUCUGGGAAUUACACUUGAAAGCCUUAUCGUGAUAAGGGAUUACAAACACUAGUUCAGAGGACAGCCAUGUUAAACUUCCACUAUGUUUGUGUCACAUUAUCAGCAGCCUAGUGUUUAUUGGUCAUGCUAUCUGCAACUAAUAUAACCCGGUGAACUUCAAUCUAAAUUCUGAAAGUACUCAUGUGACAGAUGGUGCCUUUCAGCAGAUAUCAUCAAUUUAAAAGUAGUGUGUGUGCCUAUAGGUGGGAAGGCCUUGGCAAAUGUUCAGUAUUCCGGUAAUUCAAGAAGGAUAUAUCUAAAAUAGAUUUUCUUCUUGCCCAUUUCAAUAGUUAAAAUUUGAGAAGAUUGUGUCCACAUCACACAAAUAUUAUUGGUCCUUCUGUUGCAAUUUACCUCUGAACAUGUCUUCCAAUUCCCACGGUCCUGUUACUCCAGGAAAACUAUUUCGGUCAUAUUGAAAAAAAAAAUAUUAAAGAAGGUACACAUGCUUUUAAGUGGACUGGGGCAUUCAUAUCAGGUGGUCUGUAUCCACAUAUGCCACUUCGUGAAAGGUGGAACAGCCUAAUCACUAGGCUAUUUAGUGUGGCCCAGCCACGUUAAUCAAGCACAAGUCUUCAUACUUAAAGUCAAAUGGUGUCUUUAGUCUCAUUACACAUCGCUAUUUGAAGAUUAACUCAUCACUAGUGUAAUGCGAUUAAGACAGUCCUAACUCAAUAUUUGUUCUAGUUUUGGAUGCAAAUGCUUGCUGGUUUCAUCAUUGGAUGGGAUAAAGGUGCAAUCAGGACUAUGAAUACGUGCAGUAAUACUUCAUUCUCUUUUUUCUCAAUGAGACUUCUUGGCACAAUUUUGCUGCUCAGCAACCUACCUUUCCAUGGAAAAUCAGUUGUGACUGAUAGUAAUGGAUAUAUUCUAGAAAGCUAAACAUAGAUAGCAUUCAAUAUUAUCGAUAUAACAUUAACAGCGUAUGUCUCAAUGCUCAUCAGCUACAAGCAAUGGACAAACACUUUGAGUAACUCACAGCAGUCAAAAUUCCUAAACAGGACAGACGUGACAGAUCUAUAUAUAGAACACUGCAUAUGAGUCACAGGAAAAGAUAAUACGGGUACAUAGAAGCUCUUAUUUUACAUAUUACUCAUACUGAUCAAAGUCGCUCAGUUGGGAUGGAUGGGAGAAGGAGGUUUGAGGGGUGGCUUGUGCGGGGAAGUUGGCAGCUUCUUUCCGGGAGCUGGUUGCUUCUUUGCUGGAGUUGAAGGAGGCUUAAUCUUCCGAGGUGGCUUGUAUGAGUCUUCAGCAUUCUCAGCAGGAGGGUGACCAGGGUUGUGACCAUAAUGUGGUGGCUUCUCUCCCUUAGGUGGUUUGCCAACUGGGGUUGGUGGCUUGUUUUCUGGGAGUGGCUUCUCUCCCUUGGGUGGUUUGCCAACUGGGGUUGGUGGCUUGUGUUCUGGGAGUGGCUUCUCCCCCUUGGGAGGUUUUUCGAAUGGGGUGGGUUUGUGUCCUGGUGGUGGCUUCUCUCCCUUGGGAGGUUUACCAAUUGGGGUCGGUGGCUUGUGUUCUGGGAGGGGCUUCUCUCCCUGGGGAGGUUUAGUGGGUGGCUUGUGUUCUGGAGGUGGCUUCUCCACCGGAGGCUUAUGCUCUGGUGGUGGCUUCUCGAAGGGGGGAUGCUCAGGGUAAUCACCAAGUGAGGGGGUGGUGAGAACCACCAUGCCAAGCAACAACACUAGCAAGUAUGUAGUAGACAUCUUUGGGUUUGGACUCAGACAGUGCAAAACUACGAGAAAUCGCUAGCCCUUUAUAGCGGCUCGGACCUAAUACUGACAUAAUAUAAAAUAAAUAUUAUAUUUUAUCAAGAGAGAACAGAGUGUAAUUUUAUCAUUAAUACCGAUCGAGGCCAAAGAAAGAAGACCCAUAAUCCAUUUCCCACAAGCAUACACAAUGCAGCUGUAAUUUUAUCAUUUACUUUUAUCCCUUGGACCACUGCAUUUUUGUUGAGAGACACAAUAACACAUUUUUAUCUGUCAUUCAACAUUUACAGUAAAGAGAGGGCACAAAACGCAAUUAGAUAAAUUAUGUUUUGCCUGCUAAAAAGAGGCAAAUAACUUUAUUUGCAACAUAAUUAUUUUGGUUUCUAGUGACCCCGGGGCCUUUCGGUUGGUUUGGGAUCGGAAAAUGAACAUCAUAGGGGGGGUUGUGCCCUUAUGGGCAUAUAUAUCUGAUAGCUUCAACUGGCCUUGUUCCUAGAAAGAAAUUGCCAAAGAUAUAAACUUAUUCCAGGCUGAAAGUAGAUGAGAGUCAUAAUGAACAUCAACCUUUGUUCAGUUUGAUUCAAUGCCCCCAUAGUGUUCAUUUCACAGAUCUGAAUGAUUAUAUCCGUUGAAUACAUAAAUUAAUGAAGACAAAUAUGAAACCCAAGAUACAUCUCUGCAUAACAACCCCAACCCUGGUUGCUAUGUUUCCCUUCUUCUAUUCACAUGAGGAUACUGGUUAUAAUUGUCAAACUUGCAACAAGCCCUUUGACACCUAACGUCAAUGGACGAAUUAAAAGUCUCCUUCAAACGUCUAUUUCACAGCAUGAAGCUUAUAAAGGAUGCUGACAACCUUCAGAGUUAGCGACAAAAGAUAAUUAUCAAGGAGAGAUAGUUCCAUGAGAAUUCCAAGGAGUCUGAAUCAAAGACAAAUUGCUCACUCAAGGGUUCUUAUUUUCUUUUAGGUACAAAUCUCUUGAGUGUUGUUAAAGAAACACGUCACUGUCAUUUUGAUUUGCAUUUAACAUUUCACUUUUGUUCUGGAAGGUUUGUUCCGGAAACAUAUCAAAUGAGCAUCAUUUUCUUCUUCGGUGACACAUGGUCGCGAGUACGUGGGUCCAUUUUCAUGCCACUUAGUUGAAAAGUUGGAAAGAAAAAACAUGCCAACAAGAAGAUAGUGAGAGAAGGGGCACUUCAAGCCUUUAACAUGAACAAACAGUAAAUAAAAGAUGUUUCUCCACUCAUAAAAGUGUGUUAGAUAGCAAUAUAACGAAUCACAUCCAAAAUCUUUACUAGGCUCAAACAUAAAGAAGACUCAUUUUUAAGAAAAGAUAAAAAUGGCAUUGUCUGAUAGUAUCCAAUACACGAGAUGGCACUUAAUUUGUACAAGAUCUGUCAAUGCUGACGCACAUUUUCUGAUUAAAAAAAAACUGAUCAGUCAAAAGCAAUGAAGAGAAGUGAUGACAAUGAAUGAUGCUUCCAAUAUUUUCACCCCUUAUAGUGUUCUUCAUGAUUCAGAUAUAUAAUUGGAAAUAGAACAACCCUAUGCCAUACAUUCGUCUAAGUAUGGUGUCUAAUUUUUUGUGUCAGCGGUUGCGAAUGGAGCGUGCAAAAGUCCAAAUUGGCGUCUCUCCAUUUCCACAUAGGAAGGUGACCUUUAUUGACAAAUACCCAAUAUUUGUAGACAUUCCUUAAAUAUCAUAACUUCUUGUUGAUUUGAAAAUCAUUUUUCAACUACCAUGUUUUAAUAAAUAUUUUUUAAAAUGUAUUUUUAUCAAAGUCCACCAUGAUGGAUAAUAUUCACCAUGCAAUAAUUAAUAAAGUACAAACUAAGCGAAAUGAAAAGCAUUUUCUUUGCUUUGAGUUGAUUUUGGUUGCAUUGAGUUGAUUUUGGUUUCAUGGUUUUUUCAACUCUUAUUUUGAUUGGAAGAUGUCAAGAAAAGAAAACAUAAAGAAAAAUUAAAAGGGAAAAAAGAAGAAAAAUAAAAAAAAAUAGAUUUAAAAGUUAAUAAAUUAUUUUUUAUAUUUAUUUUAAUUCAUUUCACUUAUUUUUCUUUUACUAUAUAAAAUUUAAAUAAUUUAAAUUUUAUAAUUAAUUUAAUUACAUUUCAUUUUCUUCUAUAUUUAAAUAUUGGAAAAAUAUUUUACUUAAUAUUUUUUUCUUUAAUUUCUUUGGCAUUUUGGGAACCAAACUUAGCCUUUAAAAUAAAAAACAAAAAAAAAAUGAAAAUAAGGAGGGAAAAGUGAGAAAAGAUAAAAACAAUAUGUAAAGGAUUUGAAAAGUAUUAGUUUGUAAUUACUAUUUGGAUUUCAAUAGUAUUUUAUUUGUCUUUCUAUAUUUCAUGUAAGAGAGAAUUUAAGAUAUUCCCCAAGGCAAAGCAUUAGUUACCUGCAAUCAGUGGUGAUAAGGCUCCAAGCCAAUUUUGGGCCCCAUAUCUUAAGACAGUACAAUUUCCAUUUCAACAUUUCUGAUUUCUCAGAUGUUUCACAUACCACAGAAGAACAUUGUUUGUGAAAAUAUGCAUUUAUGUUGGAUUUUGUAUGCUGUGGGGACUGGGGCAAGGAUCAUAUGGAAGAGUGGUUGACUUUUUCUGUACUUUAACGGUUGAAAUAGGAUAAGCACGGGCAUUUGUGAGGCUUAAUUGAUUUUGAAGCCUGAAAUUGCGUUUCUGUCAUUUUGUCAAAAAAAUGGCAGAUUCCAUACUCAUAUGUUUGGCCUGUGGCCAUGUACAGAUGCCAUUUAGUGACCAGUUUGUAACUGUCAAUCGUUGCGUUUUGACUCUGCCUCAACAACAUCUGCCAUUGACGGGUUUUCAUACUUGCAAAUCAAAUAGUCUUUCGUCCCAUCAGGAAUUUCGGUUUAAAUAUUAUUAAGCAUACGUUUGGCUGACAAUCAUUAUCCAGUUCAUGAUUUGGUUUCUUACCCUUAAUCAAUGGUUUCUAAGUGAAUAUAUGUAGAAGGAAAUCCGAAGUGUAGACAGUAGUAUCGAUAACUCUCAAUAUUCUCUAUAUAAUAGAAUAAACAGCGUCAUAGUGAUCGUCGCCUACAAGCAAGGUACAAAUACCAAAACGAGUGACUCACAUAGACAUCUCCCAACAAGAUGUAGUAGUGACUGACACAUGGACACAAUUAACUCGUAGAAAAGGAUAAGACCAUUGCACAGCAGCUCUUAUUUUACAUACUACUUAUGCUAACCAAAGUCAAUUAGUUGGGAUGGGUGGGAGAUGGAGGUUUGUGCGGUGGCUUGUGGGGCGGAGUUGAUGGCUUCUUUCCAGGAGCUUCUGGCUUUUUCAUCGGAGCUGAAGGAGGCUCAAUCUUAUGAGGCGGCUUGUAUGAGUCUUCUUUACUCUCGACAGGAGGGUGGCCAGGGUUGUGAUCAUAAUGUGGUGGCUUCUCUCCCUUAGGUGGCUUGCCAACUGGGGUUGGUGGCUUGUGUUCAGGAAGUGGUUUCUCUCCCAUGGGAGGUUUAGCAAUUGGGGUUGGUGGCUUGUGUUCUGGGAGUGGCUUCUCUCCCUUGGGAGGUUUAGUAGGUGACUUGUGUUCUGGAGGUGGCUUCUCCACCGGAGGCUUGUGCUCCGGUGGUGGCUUCUUGGUUGGAGGGGGCUUGGGGUAAUCAGCAAGAGAUGGGGUGGUGAGAACCACCAGUCCAAGGAACAACACUAGCAAGUAUGUGGGAGACAUUUUUGAGUUUGGGCUGAUCAGAUGAUGCAAAACUAAAGCAUUACGUGACCUUUUAUAGCAUGUAGCUCCCAAUACCCACUAAGUAUUGUGGGGUCCAUUUGUGCCCUACGGGGUUGAAAACUUAGACAAUUGGGCAAGGACCCACCUGACUAUGGAGGACUAGUGAGGUGUGAUCAUAGCUUUAGGAUUUUUCUUCCUCUGCAGCCGUCGUGCCGUUGGCAUGAUUUUCUUAAUCUUAAAUAAAGGCAUAGUUAUAGAGUUGUUUAAUCUCUAAAUGGGAUUUUAUAUAUAUCUUCAGAUAGCCAUUAAUAUAUUUGAUGAAGAAAGAAAGACAAGUGCAUACAACAUGUAUACGACUAGCUUUCAUGGAGUUCAUUUAUGAUCAGUUUUCCUGUACAUGUAAACCAGGAUCAUAUAUAUGUUUCUGUUCCACAACUAUUUUGGAAUCUUGUUUAUCAGUUUUUAUCAUUAUAAUGUCACAUAGGCUGCCAACUUGGGCGCUAAAAGAACCAGUUGGGCUAGUUCGUUUCAGAAUUUCAAUGUGGAUUCAGGAAUUGUUUUGUAAGAUAUGCGAAAUAGUAGAGGGAUGAAUAGUGUUUCAUUAAUAAAAGUGUCCUGUAAAUUAGAAGGUGUCAUAGAAACUAUAAUCAAUAAAUAACUUUUUUUCCCCACGGGUGGUGUUUCUUGUGGGGAUCAGUGACUGGUUUAGGUUCACCCAAAAUGAGUUCAGACUAAAAUUGGUUUGAGUCAAUGCCGUGUCUCUUUUUUCCAGAAAUCAACUAUUUUAUGCAUUGAAUAAAUCAUACAAAGAAAAUAUGAACGCCCGCAAAACCUAAACCCUGGUUGCUAACUUUCUAUGUUUCAGUUCUAUUCACGCAAGAAUAUUAGUUUAAGUUUGGGAAAAAUGGCAACUUACCUAGUGAUUACUUGGUUUUGGUUUGCGACUAUUUACGCAACCAACCAUGAGUUUGACUUUAACGUCAUGGGUUGAAGCCUCCUACAGGAAGGGAGAAAGCUCCACAGCUAGCUCCAAAAGAGAAUUAUCACAUUGAUAGCUCCAGAGAUUCCCAAGGGGACUGAAUCAAAGACAAGUUCCUCACUUUUUCUUCUUUUGAGGCCAAAUAUGAACCAAGGAUCACACAACCUCAUUCAACUUCAUAAGUUUGAUUUCAUGCAGUUGAACACUGGGUGAAGGCCAUGACAAGAAUUGAUUCAAAAAUUCUAUCACUCUUUUAAGUAAUGGAAGAUUAUUAUCUCUGAUUGGCAUCACAACAGCACAUGCUCCUAGAUCUUUCUAGACACUCCAUGCAAUGAAAGCACAAUGGAUCUUGUAACGAUAGAAACUAAGCCAUGCUACAGUACUAGAUGAUGAGGUAAAACUAGUAGACACGGGUGGCAGCCUAUAUGGGAGGGACACAAGUCUAAUUGAUUUGCAUUUCAGCAUUAUAGAUAGGUAUGUUUUGGAAGAUUUGUUCUGGAAAUACCGCACCAAGUAGGAUUCUUUUUCUCUUUAGUGGGUCCACUUGCAUGCCAAUUAACGAGUUGAAAAGUAUGAGCACCUACCUCGUGCUCGUGGAACCGAAGGUCAGUGAAGUGGGGCUCCUUUUGGCCUCGUGUAAACUUGAUUCAGAAGUGAAGUUAAUAGUCUUCCAUUCAGAUGGAUACAUGGGAAUUUUUCUCUUUUAUUUAUUUAUUUAUUUUUUUUUUGUGUGUGUAUGUCAAAGGAUAAUGAAUGAAGCGCGUUAGCUUGUUUUCUGACUGGAACCGCAGAUGUCCAAAUUGGAGUUCCUUCAUUUCUUACUUAGGAUUGUUACAUGUAUAAACAAGGUAUAAGAAAUAUGCCAACGUGUCUUGAGGAGUUAUUGAUUAGAAAUAACAAGUCACCCGACUGUAGAGUUCCAAGAUUUGAAUCUUCAGACCCUAUAGCAGCCUCUGGGGUACGUGGCAUCCUAUAGCAUAUUAAUGAAGGCUUUUUCGAUUUAGACUUCACAAUACCAAUUAAUAUGUAUGCACAAAAUGGAGAUGACCCCAAAAAAAACAGAAUCGCCAUAGUUUAUGAGGUUAAGGUGAUUCUCCACUUAAUAUCUACAUUAGCUAAUUAUGUAAAUCAAAUGAACUUCUAUUUUUCCUUUUUUUUUUUGGUUUAUGUCAAAUAGUAGCCCAUAAUUAACCCAACCAUUAGCCUGUUUGAAUUGAUUUCACAUGCACAAUGUUGUAGUAGUUCAUAUUUUGAAUUUUAUUUUUACAAAGGUAGUUAAGGAAAAUGAAGUAUAAUAAUUAUAAAAGCAGACUAUAUACACUACAAUAAUUGUUAGAAUGGUAUCUCAAAUUCUAAUUUAAAAUAUUAUUUUUUGUAAAAGAAAUAUUAUAUAGAAUAUUUCCUAAUUUUAUAAAUGAUUAUAAUUAGAUCUUUAUAAAAUAAGGAAAGUUGGUAAGAAUAUCUUUAUAAAUAUUUUAGGUCAUGAGAGAAAGAAAUGGGAUAAAAAUGUGAUGAAGAGGUGAAAUAAGAGAGUUGAUUAGGAUAUAGAUGUGAAGAAGAAAGGGAUUCAAUAUAUAUAUAUCUUUCAAUUACCACAUUAAAACCCUGUGAACCUUUUAUAUGGUUUACUUUAUUUUUAUAUUCCUCCUUUAAUAUAUUUACAUUAAUGCUUCCAUUGGCACAACAAUAACGAAUUACAAAUACAAGCAACAAGUCCCAUGUUUUAUUACCAAAAGCAGGUAAAAUCCACCUAAUAUAUUACAAUAUAUUCAUCCAAUAUUUUAGACCAAUUCUUCACCAUAAAUAUCAUAAUGUGGCUUUUGUUCUUUCUUAAAUUUAAAUUGAAUUGUCUUAUAUCAAUUUGUUUGUGAUUUUUUCAUUAACUUCACUUUCAUUUGGUUAUCUUUGGUUUUUGAAAAGUAUUAAGGAAUUAAUUAACAAAAUAAUGUUAAGAAAAAUAAUUUUCUCUCUUUUGAUUUUGAUUUUGUAGUAGAAAAAUAUAAUUAAAAUUAUUUAAAAAGUAUGUAAUUUUAAAUUAUUUAAUAUUUAGAUAAAAAAAAUAAGUCUAAUGAGUUUAAAAUAACAUAUAAAAAUAAUUUAUUUAUUUUAAAUUUAUUUUUUAUUUUCCAUUAUGUUCUCUUUCUCUUUUACUUUUUCAUAUUUUUUCUUACGAAGAAUCAAACACAACCUCAUAUUAUAUGUCAAGUGUUUGUCUAUAUUUGAGCAAUGUUAGAUACGGCCAUGGAUUCAUCAAACUAAACUGAUUUUAAUAGAUACUUCACAAAUUGAUUUAUACACUAAAUCAUUGGAUAGCAAUGAUGCAUUGGAAUUAAACGUAGGAUGAAGCUCGAAGAACACUGUUUGUGUAACAACAUAUUUAUGAAAUUAUGCAAAGGAUGAGCUUCGGGGUAGUAGUACAAGGUCAUUAAUGGAGAGCCGUGUUAAACCUUGAUUGUGAUUGGAUUCCGUUAUCAGCAACAGCAACCUUGUUUGUAACCUUGAAAGUCAUUCUGUCCACAUCGAAACUCCAAUUUGACGUUUGUAAUUACCAUUCCUGGAGUGUUCCUUGAUUGAAAUUUAAAUAAUAAUUGCGGCCCACAAGGAAUAUUUUCGAUUCUGUGGGAAUUUGACAAGGUUUGUUAGAGAAGACUGGUGACAUGUUGACUUCAAUGGUUCAAAUAGGAGACGUAUGUGGAUUUGGGGGGUUUAAUUGAAACUGAGUCCCUAUGGCUUUUUAAUAUUUGCAUUGAGCAGUCUCCAUGUGACUUCCUAAUUCCCACCAACCCUCCUGUCCAUGCUGUGAAACUAAAUUGUAAUUUAUCAGCCUUUGUCAAUGGUUUCUAAAUUAAAGAUAUAGACCAUGCAUGUACUUUAAUAAAAGCAAAUCUAAAGUGUAGAUAGCAGCAAUGGUGACACCCAAUAUUCUCCAUAAAAUAGAAUUAGAAUAAGCAGUGUUACAUUGUUCAUGAUCACCUACAAGCAUACAAGAACUUCCAUGAAUAACUCAUAGCAAUUGCCAACAGGGCGUCGUAGAGACUCAUACAUAGAACACUAUCCACCCAGAGGAAAGGACAAGACCAGUGCGCUGCAGCUCUUAUUUUUCACAUGUAUACCACCACUCGUAAUAACCAAAUUCACUCAGUUGGGAUAGGUGGGAGAUGGUGGUUUGUGGGGUGGCUUGUGGGGAGGAGUUGGAGGAGGCUUUAUUUUCUGAGGCGGCUUGUAUGAGUGUGCAGGAGGAUGCCCGGGAGUGUGACCAUAAUGUGGUGGCUUCUCUCCCGUAGGUGGUUUGCCAAAUGGGCUUGGUGGCUUCUCUCCCUUAGGAGGUUUACCAAUUGGGGUUGGUGGCUUGUGUUCUGGGAGUGGUUUCUCUCCCUUGGUAGGUUUGCCAAUUGGGGUUGGCGGCUUAUGUUCUGGGAGUGGCUUCUCUCCCUUGGGAGGUUUGCUAAUUGGGGUUGGCGGCUUAUGUUCUGGGGGCGGCUUCUCUCCCUUGGGAGGUUUGCCAAUUGGAGUUGGCGGCUUAUGUUCUGGGAGUGGCUUUUCUCCCUUGGGAGGCUUGCCAAUUGGGGUUGGCGGCUUAUGUUCUGGGGGUGGCUUCUCUCCUUUAGGAGGUUUGCCAAUUGGAGUCGGCGGCUUAUGUUCUGGAAGUGGCUUUUUUCCCUUGGGAGGUUUGCCAAUUGGGGUUGGCGGCUUAUGUUCUGGGGGUGGCUUCUCUCCCUUGGGAGGUUUGCCAAUUGGAGUCGGCGGCUUAUGUUCUGGGAGUGGCUUCUCUCCCUUGGGAGGUUUUGUUGGUGGCUUGUGUUCUGGAGAUGGCUUCUCCCCUGGAGGCUUGUGCUCCGGAGGUGGCUUCUGAAAUGGCGGGGGCUUGGGGUAAUGAGCAAGAGAUGGAGUACUG
rnacentral:lncRNA from 1 species